CCCCCUUGGCUUGGCACUAAGUUUGAACACGAGAUAUGUCGAAUAGGAACUGCCCCUUGGUAGGUCCCUAGAAGGCACACUGGCUCGAAUGUCAAACCAGCAAACUUCAACAAGCUCGGCAACCUCGAAGCUGUACAAAGGCAUUAAAAUCAGUUUAGGAUAAUCUUCGAAAGUCAUCAACUAACUAAAGGGGGAAAGUGAGAUAAUAAUAUAAAUGGAAUAGGACUAUAUACAGGACGGGUACGUGUGAAGUUAGUUCAGGAGGUUUACCCAGAAGGUACAUCAGUGUACCAUUUCCAAUAGCGUGGAUCAUUACCGUGAGAGAUCACUAGAUCCCUUGCGUUGAUGGUGUAAACCUGUGAUGGAAAAUCGAGCAUCGACAAGUUAAUUAAUCUUUUCAGGCAAAGUAACAAAUGACUGAUGAGUAGUUCCAGUAUUAAUGCAAACUAAGAACUACUGUUAUAGUUAUAUACCAUGUUGAAUAGAAGUAGCUCUGGAGUAGUGUUGGAAGGACUGUACGUUUUGUGGAAUGAGGGAUUGAAGAUUGCGGGAAUGGAUAUUUAUAGGCCUAUCUGAUUAACUGACGCUUGCAGAUAUUUCCAAUCUUACCUCAUCAGAGAUGUGUAAAAACGUGUUUCGUGCUGGUGUGAAGGUCAGAUGCUGAUGUGAAUGAGGGUGGCCUUUCACAAAACCACAAAUAUGAGUGUAUCAGAGUCCAAUUAUUCUCUGCCAUCUCUUUCUAUAGUCAAUUUUUGUAAAAACCAUAGCGAAUGCUUAUGGGAAAGUCUUCUUUGCAUGUCUAAAGAUUAGAUGAUAAAAUGAAAAUGGUAGAGCUGGUAAAUGGCACAAUUGGCAAUGUAAAAGAAGGAUAGAGCUUGCAUCAUAGGAAAAACAUGGGAUUUGUACCGUGGAAACUGUAGCAUUUCAAUUUUUUUUUUCUCGCACACUUGUUCAAAAAAUUUAGCAUAAUUGAAGAAAACAAAAGAUAUAAAGAGGCAAACAAAGAAAAGGAUUGAAGAUUGCCAAGGAAAAGGAAUUAUUUGACGAGUCUUAAUGAUACCAUUAAGGAUAAAUUUAAGGAUAAGGAGCAGGUGUAAUUGUGUUUUGUCCAGUUUUAUUUGUAUGGUAUAAAUCAUACAAAAUUUAAUGUAAACUUACAUGACUUUCGUGUAGUUAUUGGUGCCGUUGAUGUAUGUAGAUUAGCUCUAUAGCACAUCCAUGAAAUCUUGUAAUAAAUAUACAAAAUAGAGUCUUAUAACAAAUAUACAAAAUCUUGUAAGAAUUACGCUAACAGGACAAAAUUGAAUAAAGCUUAACUAUACUUGUACCCUUGCAAAAUUUUUAUGUUGUGUGAACGCACUUGGUUGGUUUGACCUGCUGGCAAAUACCUAAAUGAACUCUUGUCCAAGAAAAACCUUUCCAACACCUCUAGUUGUUACUAGAUACUACACUAUGACCAUCACUUGUGGAAAAGUUGGGAGGGAUUUUUUUUUUGGUCAAGGUCAAGACUUAACAAAAGGCCUUUAUGGGAUAGAAGAAUCAUUUUACGUCCAAAACAGGACACAUAAAAGUCUAUCAAGACCAAGACUUAUAAAAAAGACGUACACUAUACUAUACACUUACAACACAUAUUUCAAAAAUAAAUUAAUUAGUUAAAUACAUGCUCAAUCAAGCAAUUUUGUCAAGACCAACAUUGUAAACAGCUGCAGACUAGUAGUAAUAUGAACAUCAAACUUAAAAGUUUUGAAAUUUCACAAGAUGCGACAAGUGGAAAUUGUGCAAAGUGACAUGAAAGCAAGAUUCUAGAUCAAAAUAGUUGUUACUUAAUUUGAAUUCGCAGAUUCAUUCAUCCAAAAAAAAAAAAUUUUCACAGAUUCAAAUAGAAAAUCUGAAUGAUAAAAAGACAAUAACAUAAAUUAGCCAAAAUCACUAGCGCAAAUUUCACUGUUCAUUUAAAAAAACUUACUAUUAUAAUUGCAAAGUUCACCUUGUCUUUCCUAGUUGUUACCACUUUUUUGGUAAAUCAUAUUAAUUUUUUGAACAAACUUUCUACUUCAUUAGCUAAGCACUGCAAUUUAGUUUGGUAAACCCUACUACUUUUCCAACAAAUGAGAUUCAAAAUUUGGAAACUAAAUUUUAUUUUUUUUAUCAUCUUCGAACAAUUUAGUAUUAGUUCAUACAAAUUUUGGUCAAAUUGUCAUAAAUUGAUAGAAAUUCAAACAGGAUUUCUUUUAAGAAGUAAUGUUACAAUUUCUUUUAAAAUAGGAUUAUAUAUCAUUUGACAUUCGAUGCACUUCUACGGCCUUUCUUAGGUAUUGCAAUUAAUUAGGGUUGGCACUUGAAACCUAAAAGAGCCUAAUCAACAAGGUUGAAAACAAACAAUUCGUUAAAAUGAGAACAAAAAGCUCCAAACCACACAACGCGCAGAUGUUGCUUUGGAGUUUUGGAGGGACUAUUUCAUUGAAAGAGGAUUGAAGAUUGAGGAAAUGGAUAAUUAAGUGGCCUUUGUGGAUAUUUCCACAGUGGCCUCAUCAUGGACAUCAAAAACGUUGGUCCUUCUCAUUCUUUUACACGUACUAAGACAAACGUAAUCCUUGGCAAAAUUCACACCGUCGUUGGUUUAUCCUUCUAGUUGAAGGGCACAAAAUGUACCAAUCAUAGUAGUAGCUCUGACAAUGACAUUAGGUAACAUCAAUUGCUCAAUAUCCGUGAAUGCAAUGUUAAGUUAAAACUUAGAUUUUAGUUUUUUUUUUGUCAAAUAAAACUUAGAGUUUAGUUAUGACUACACUGAACUGCUAAACCAUCAUCAGGUCACAACGUUGCCACUCCAAUUAUACCCAAAAGAUCAUCAUGGUAACUUGCAAUCAAUUUGAAUCACACACCAUUCUCGAUAUAACUAAAUCAUGGAAUAUUUUGAACCAUAAUUCACACUUCUAGAUCCUAAACAUUGAUAAAUUACAAGUAUGAUAGGCUUAUUUGUUACCUACACUUGCGACUAUUUCUAGGAGAAUAAGAAAUUCCAUAGGCCCAUUGAUCAAGGAAGUUCGUCUAAAUAUAUCACCAUGAAUCUUGUGAAAUAACAUAUUUCCAGUAUACACAAUCCGACUAGUUAGUUGAAUAUAUCAAAUAUUAAUUGAUAUGAAUCAAUCAUCAUAAAUGCCAAACAAUCAUCUGAAGACACCAAUCAAUCAUGUCAGUUACCUUAUGUCCAAAAAGAUUGAAUCAAUAGUUAGUUAUAUUUUCCAUAAAAAAAAAAAACAAGCCUUAUUGUCAGUUAUGUUUUCCACGAGUAUCUUGUCAGGAAAACAAACCAUAAAUGGAGGAAUCUUGUAGACCUCAGAAGAAUGUUAGAGACGAGGUUUUUCCUUUGCACUAAAUUUUAAAAAUCUAAAUAUUCUAUUUUUUACAAGUAUACAGAUUGUUUAUCAAGAAUAGGACAUAUUAGGUAUCGAUCUCACAGGCAAGAUUGUCAAUUAUUGAUGAUUUUCAAGCUUCUUUAUUAUUUAAGUUAUCACAAAUACAAGAAAAUAAAUCUACUUUACAAUCAUGAAAUAAAAGGAGUAAAAAUAGCAAUAGAAAGCUUCUGGGGCUAUGGCAUUCCUAACUAGGGUGAUGAUAUCUCUAGAACUUACUCCUUCGAAAGACUCCUCAAGAGGGGUUAAAUGUGAAUCAUUCAUGCUCAUCUCUUGAUGUUCAACCUUAGUUUCAAAGAUACAAUCAUGUAAAAUGGACAUUUCGUCAUUGGAACACAAAUUAGAUUCAUCAUUUUGAUCAAAAUGCAAUCCACUUUCACAUACAACAUUCCCACCAUUCACAAUAGGAUCAAUUUACAUAUUAUUAGAUGAUAAAACUUCACAUAAGGCAUGCAAUUGGUCUUAAAUUCUACCAAAUUGAGAAGCUAAUUCAUCUAAUAUAUUCUCAACCCUAUCAAAAUGGUCAGAAGUCAUAUUAGCUAACCUUUCAAUUGCUAAUUUCCAAGACAAAAGUGCAUUAACUAACCUUUCAAUUGCUAACUUCCAAAAUGGCUUUGAUUCAAGUUGGACAAAUUCGAAUUGGUAAUUAUAAAAAUACAGAGGAGCAUUAUAUCCAUACUGAUUAUUUCAACUAUAAACAUAAGAAUUAUCCCAAUUAGGAUCAUAUUGAUCAAAACAAGGAUUGAAAGGCUCAAAUUCAUCAUAAUAAUCUACAUUUUGUGCGUGUCUACAUGUACGAGUAGCAUGAUAAUCGUCACACAAGUUACAAAUCACAUAAUUAGAAUAAAAAAUAUUAACAUUUUUCUUUCUUUUUUUCUUUUUUUUUAUUUGGCUAACCCCAUGCACGGGGAGGGACGCCACCCCUGAGUAUUAUUAAUAAAAACCACAAAAGACACAUACAAUGCCAAUCAAUCGAGCACAACCCUACUGCGUAUUACAGGAAUUCCUGCUCUAUCCAAACCCACGGCCCCACUAGCGGGUCUUGGUAACUCCGAAUGGGAGGUAUACAUGCCACUCAACAACCCUUGCGCCCCCACCUUAGACAAGAUGUUCGCCACCUGGUUUGCUUCUCGAAAACAAUGACCCACAGUCCAAUCCGAACCCAACAUUGAUUGGAUUGCCUCUACAUCAGAGCGAAUCAGCCAUGGACAUCUCGACUUGCCAGGGAGAACAUUUACUAAUGAACAUUUACUAAUGAACACCCACAGUCCACCUCCACCUGUACCCUGGAGACACCCCGUAACAGGCACUGCUGCACCCCAUAUAGCAACGACUUGGUUUCAGCUUGCAAACUUGUCGUCUACCCGAGGAGAAUGGAAAAACCAAAUAGCAAAUCACCAGAGGAGUCCCGAAGGACACCACACCCUCCACUAGGCCCUGGGUUACCUAAUGAACAUCCAUCCGUAUUUAACUUGUAGAUCCCCUGAAACGGCAGUUCCCAAUAUACCACCCUAUGGGAGUAUCGAGGCCUCCAUCCAUACAUACUAGAGUAAAAAGCAUGCCAGGAAACUGACAGGUUGUCAGCCUAUGAAAUAAUAAAACCUGCUUAAACUAAAAGUAAUUUCUGUAGAUAGCGGUGAGCAGGGUCGAAUCCACAGGGACUGGGGGUAAUUAUUUCUUUUCAAAUUCACAGUGACAAGGGGGUGUUUUUAUAUCAGGGGUGACAAUUUAAACAAUUCAACUAAAAAUAAAAUAAUAAAAAUAAAAUAGCCAACUAGAAAUUAAAUAACAAUUUACUAAAAUCUAAUGACUGAUAAUUAAGGAUCUAGCCAAGGAAUAACUUCAGCAAUGGUUCACCUAAUUGAUCAUCGAAGCAAAGGCAAUUCUAAUUAUUUAUUAAUAAAUAGGUUAUAACUGUCAAACAAGCGAUGACAGUCAACCCCUCCUUACUAUAUCGGUGAUCAAGUUACGCCCGUUAAUCACUUUUUUAAUUGAAAAACAAUCCUAGGUACGCCCGUAAGAUUUAAUUCCCCAAUUGCUUUACGUAUUAGAGGAGCCCUAUUCUAACCAAAUAACACACUACCAGGGUUAUUUCAGAUUAGCCUGCAUAUCCUCCUGACACAAACCAAAUCAUGCCAGUUGUCACUAUUUCAAGGCAAUUAAACAAUUACGAAUUUAAUACCCUAAUUGACAAUAGAUUACCGAAUCAAUUAAUUAUCCGGAUCCAAAAUAAUCAAUUAAUUAAAUAACCAUAAGCAUAGCAAUCAAGGAAUAUGCGAAUACCAAUAAUUAAAAGGAAAAGAUUAAAUUAAAUCGAUCUCACAAUUUUAGGCGAAUCAAAGCCUCCGUUGUCCCUGACUAGAGUGAAAAAUUAGUUCAUAUUUGAUACUAAAAACCCACACAAAGGUGUAGAAAAACCUGCGGCCAUUAUCCUUGAUCGAAAGAGUUCACUCCGUUCGAACAAAAGGAUGAAUAGCAGGUCUUCUGAGAAUGACUAAUUGGCUAAUUGAGUAAUACUUGUCUUGACAUACGGAGAAAUAAGAGCUACUUGAGCCCACAAGAAAAAGUCAAAAGAAGCUAAGCUAAAAGAGACACAAUCAAAAGCUAAGCUAAAGGUAGUGCUUGCCCUCUGCACAAUCUUCCUAUCUAAAAGUCAUGCUACUUGCGGCGGCUCCUGUGUGUGGAGAGGAAGAAGCCUCUCGACGACUGCCCAGGUUUGCUUUCUUUUCCCCUUUUUUAGUUGCUGUCUUCGGUCAAAAUUACCAAAAAGGUCUUGCAUCUCCUUGUUCCAAGAAUGCCCUUGAUUGCCUGCUAUUUGAACUCUUUCCUGAUAACUGUUAAAUUGGCACUUAUUAUGGUAUUUUCGUUCUACUCCCUGAAAUAUAUGCCAAAUACUAAAAGUGAGCAGAAUCCAGCAAUUAAUCCACAUCGGGUCAGGUAAUAGGGAAAAUUAAUAAUAAAAUAAAUGAUAAAAUUGCAACCUAUCAAUUCCCCCCACACCUAAACCAUGCUUGCCCUCAAGCAUGAGAACAACAAACAAAUACCAAUAUUUGAUAGUGGCUACUGCUCUAUCCACCAAAUUGCCAAGAUAUCAAGAAAAAUAAUAAUCAAGCAUCGAUGGUCAAGUCCAAGAAACAUCACUCUGGUUAGCUUCUAAACCAUAAACUCUUCCAAUUUCAGGUUAACUAAUCUAAGAAAAAGGAGUGGUCGCUCAAUAUUUAUCAGCGAAUGGUCCAACUAUUAACCAAAAUCUCAACAUUAAAUCCAUAAAUCGGCAAGCUGACUUUUAUCACACAUUAACACAACCAUUACCUUUUUUCCAUAUUUUUCUUUUUUUCCUUUUUUUUCAAUAGUAACACAAGACUUAGUCUUAUAGCCAUGGGAGCCUUUUGACGCGAACUCCAACAUUUGCCAGAUGAAGGAGCCUAGUUACUCAACUCCUAUCGCUAUACGACCACGUACUCAUAGAAAUUACUACUUUUUGACGCGAGAAUCGACACUUUUGGUGAAGAUCCCCGGUUACUCAGUAGUAAAAACUAGCUGAGUACAGCCAACUCUUAUUCUCAACUAAAUAACACAAAAACUCAAUAUAACACAAAAAUCAAAAGAAAAUUUGCAUCAGCUAUCCUCAUUUUCAAAUAUGGAGAACUAAGGUUAAUAACUGGACCAAUUCACAUGAAAAUGCCAACAAUCAUUCCCUAUGCCUAGGAAAGUUGACCAAAAGUUAAAAGAGUAAAACAAUCGCUGAUAUUCACCAAAGAGAUAUUCUUGGACUCAACCACAUUAACUUGAUACACUUUUAUUAUUAAAACUUGGCAAUAGCAGAAUUAGAGUCAACAAUCCAACAUCAAACUUUGGUAUUCAUUAAAAAAAAAGUAAACGAAGACUAGACAAAUAACAAACUAGCAAUAAAAGAAGGACAUCUGAAAACUAAAAACUGGUAUAGCUGUCCCUCCCCCCAUACCUAGAUCCUACAUUGUCCUCAAUGGAGGAAAUAAAAUAAUUAAAGCGAAGAGGAUAACGAAACUUCCCCCUCGAGUGGUUAAGGGGUAUUUGGUAGCUACGGAGGGAAACCAACAUGGUGAAGGUACGAGGCCACGUUCUGAGACAUCCUUGCCCAUUGGCGGGCAAUGUUCGUCAUUCGCUCAUCUACGUUGUGAACCUGUGCUUGUAAGUGGCGCCACUCACCAUUUUCGCCAAUUAUCAUUCCAAACAACCAAAGACAGAAUAUCCAACAAAGAUAGCAAUCACAAAUGCACAUUCAUAGUCACUGGUGUUCCCCAACUCAACAAUCAAAAGCAAACAUGGGCCACCCAAGCCCAAAUAUGGUCAACAAAGCAACAGUUGCACUUCAAAAUCAAAAACCAGAAACUAUUAUCAAUAACUGGAAACUAGCAAAGUCACGUCAAUAAGCACAGGAACUACCCAAUUUAGUCAGUCAACAAGCAAACUUGGGACAUCCACAAUAUCAACAAAUGCACUCUAAGAUUGUAACAAAUGCCCCCAUCAGUCAAACCAUAACAAUUGCCCCAAUAAUAUGCCAAAUUCAGCAAUAGAGGUUCAAGAAUUUAGUAAUAGUAACACAAUCACAAGCCCUUGGCUAUCAGCCAAAUAUCCAAACAAAUACAGUGAGCAGAUUCAAGGAAAAACAGUCCAACCAGUACCACUGGUGAAAAAUUAAGUGUACCACUUCACCACCCGAAAUCGUAGCAAAAACCCCAAGAAGCCAACAAUUCAAGCAAUAAUAAUUCCGUAAGCUAACAGUAGCACCACAGAAAUUAGCAAUGGAAGACGACAGUCAAGGCACGCCCAAUAGUUCACUAGAAAGCGAAGAAAUCCACUAAUAAUGUCGCAUCGAACCCAAAAGGCACUGAUGUCCCACAAUUGGAACAAAUAAAGAUAACCCAAACACCAGUGCAACCCCAGAUACUGGAACUCGAUUUAACCAGAUAAUGUGGCCAUGGAGGCUUCAAUUGAGUCUAACAAUUAAGUCCCAGAAAGGAUGCUCCAAAUAAUUGGGUAUAAGUUCGAGAGGGGUAAAUACCUCCGCCGCGAAUAGUGGCCAAACAAAAUCUCUGGUAGAGGCUGAAGGCGACGUAGCGAAGUGGGCAGAGGAGGUGGCGCGCUGCCCGAGGGUCAAGAGGGGAAGAGAGGCCGCAGCUGUGGCGGCGUGCUCCUUCGAGUGGCGGUGGUCACGGGUGUGUUAGUGGAGGGUUGCGUCUGGUUGCUGAGGAGAGAUCGCGCGCACAAGCUCAAAACGAGAGAGGCAGAGGGCGAGUUGCUCCUGGGGUAGUGGAGGCGUCACCUGUGGAUCGAGGACGUGGGCUGGGCUCGCGGUAGGAGGCAGCGGCAUGUGGUGGAUUUUCAGUGGCUGUCGCGGGCUAGGGAGACGGUGGCGAUGGAGGAGAGCAGCGACGGCGCUGGCUGCACCGUGGGCUGCAGGCUGAUGUCGUACGAGGAGAAGCUGGGGUCGCGGCUACUGGCAGCGCUGUUGGCGAUGCGGUGGCCAGGGAUGGAGAGAUGCACGUGGAGAGCUCUUUCCCGCGAAUGUGACGCGGGCACGUCAUGAAAGCACGGAAUGAGGAGCUCUCCAGGUGACUUGACGCGGGCACAUCAUGAGGACAAAAACCUUUUCUGACGAAUCUGACCAUGAGCUUUCCAGGUGACUUGAUGCGGGCACGUCAUGAGGACAAGAACCCCUUCUGACGAAUCUGACCAUGAGCUCUUCAUGGGACUUGACGCGGGCAUGUCAUAAGGAUCGAAAUCCUUUUUACUAAGUACCAGAAAAUCGCAAUGUGCCACGUGCCCAGUUGACGCGGGCACGUCAUGUCAGAGGGAUGCCUAUGAAUCAUCACAAACGAAAAUUGAAACCAUAAAUCAGUCAAAUCCAAGGAAAAACAUAUUUAAACUAACAAACAAAAAUGAACAAACAACUAAAAGGAAUUGGGUUGCCUCCCAAUGAGCGCCUUUCUUUAAUGUCUUUGGCUAGACAUCAUCAUGUUUUGUUCAUGGAGGAUAAAAUCUUGUGGCUCGUCUUAAUGUUUCAUCCUCUAUAUAGUCCUGAUAGCCCUUGUAAAUAGAAUAAUUCUUGAGUACACGAGUUACGGGCUUCCAUGGACUAGUAAAUGGCGCCAAACAAGUCAACGAUAAUUUGCAUUCUCCACUCACUCCUCCAUCACUUGCAUUUAUUGGUUCAAGAUAUCUUGAUAUCGCCACUCUUAAUUUAUUCCUGUCAUGAAAUUCAAAAUUUUCUGGUAUAAUAAAGUCAAUUUCAUUAACAGAAAUUGAAGAAUAAGAGUCAAGAGAAUAUUGAUUAAGGAAUGGAGCAGAUGUCACCGCAUUUGGAGAUUGUUCACUGGAUUCAUUCACUUGGACGCAUUGAUAUUGGGUCUUAUUUCUUGCACUUCACUUUCCUUUUCAACUGCAUCUUUAGAUCCAUUUUCUUGAAACUUUUGCAGUCCCAUGUCAUUUGACCGGAUAAUUGCACUCUCAUCUUCUUCAAGGUUGAUAUUGGUUUGUGAGGGCAAUUUUUCAAGGUGAGAAGCUAAUCGCGCUAUCCUGGAUGUCAAUUGAUUCAUUUGAUCCGCCAUCGCUUGUAACUCCUGUUGAGAUCGAUAUGAAUUAGCAGUUAGUAAUUCUAUCAUUUCUUCAAGAGACAUACCUGACACGGAAGAUGAUUGCUGAGACUCUUGCUGUUGGAAAUCCAUUGGCCCGGUCGCAUAAUUAAAAUUGAAAUUAUCCCACUAUCCUUGAUCAUACCUGUUUGGAUAAGGGUCAUACCACGUUUGAAAUCGAGGUGAAAAAUCUCAAAAGUAUAAAUUGGAGCACUUAGAUUCUCUUAAAAUGCAGGGCAUGUGUCGGUUGAAUAACCUGAGAAGUUCCACAAUUUGCAACACCCUAUUGAUCAUUAGGAAAAACACGAGUCUCAUAACCCCAUUCAGGAAUAAAGUCCAGUCUAUCAUCAAAAUAUGGAAUGUUAGCAACCAUAAACUAUAUAAAAAAAAGAGAGAAAAAUAAAUAAAAAAAUAAAAACAAAAUGAACUAAAAAAGAAACAAAUUAAUCAGGCACCAGUCCCUGGCAACGGCGCCAAAAAUUGACAGGUUGUCAGCCUGUGCAAUAAUAAAACCUGCUUAAACUAAAAGUAAUUUCUGUAGAUAGCGGUGAGUAGGGUCGAAUCCACAGGGAUUGGGGGUAAUUAUUUCUUUUCAAAUUCACAGUGACAAGGGGGUGUUUUUAUAUCAGGGGUGACAAUUUAAAUAAUUUAACUAAAAGUAAAAUAAUAAAAAUAAAAUAGCCAACUAGAAAUUAAAUAACAAUUUACUAAAAUUUAAUGAGUGAUAAUUAAGGAUCUAGCCAAGGAAUAACUUCAGCAAUGGUUCACCUAAUUGAUCAGCGAAGCAAAGGCAAUUCCAAUUAUUUAUCAAUAAAUAAGUUAUAACUGCCAAACAAGCGAUGACAGUCAACCCCUCAUUACUGUAUCGGUGAUCAAUGUACGCCCGUUAAUCACUUCUCUAAUUGGAAAACAAUCCUAGGUACGCCCGUAAGAUUUAAUUCCCCAAUUGCUUUACGUAUUAGAGGAGCCCUAUUCUAACCAAAUAACGCACUACCAGGGUUAUUUCAGAUUAGCCCGUAUAUUCCCCUGACACAAACCAAAUCAUGCCAGUUGUCACUAUUUCAAGGCAAUUAAACAAUUACGGAUUUAAUGCCCUAAUUGACAAUAGAUUACCAAAUCAAUUAAUUAUCCGGAUCCAAAAUAAUCAAUUAAUUAAAUAACCAUAAGCAUAGCAAUCAAGGAAUAUGCGAAUACCAAUAAUUAAAAGGAAAAGAUUAAAUUAAAUCGAUCUCAUAAUUUUAGGCGAACCAAAGCCUCCGUUGUCCCUUGACUAGAAUGAAAAAAUUAGUUCAUAUUUGAUGCUAAAAACCCACGCAAAGGUGUAGAAAAAGCUGCGGCCAUUAUCCUUAAUCGAAAGAGUUCACUCCGUUCGAACAAAAGAACGAAUAGCAGGUCUUCUGAGAAUGAUUAAUUGACUAAUUGAAUAAUACUUGUCUUGACAUACGGAGAAAUAAGAGCUACUUGAGCCCACAAGGAAAAGUCAAAAGAAGUUAAGCUAAAAGAGACACAAUCAAAAGCUAAGCUAAAGGUAGUGCUUGCCCUAUGCACAAUUUUCCUAUCUAAAAGUCAUGCUACUUGCGGCGGCUCCUGCGUGCGGAGAGGAAGAAGCCUCUCGACGACUGCCCAGGUUUGCUUUCUUUUUCCCUUUUUUAGUUGCUCUCUUCGAUCAAAAUUACCAAAAAGGUCUUGCAUCUCCUUGUUCCAAGAAUGCCCUUGAUUGCCUGCUAUUUGAACUCUUUUCUGAUAACUGUCAAAUUGGCACUUAUUAUGGUAUUUUCGUUCUACUCCCUGAAAUAUAUGCCAAAUAUUAAAAGUAAGUAGAAUCCAACAAUUAAUCCACAUCGGGUUGGAUAAUAGGGAAAAUUAAUAAUAAAAUAAAUGAUAAAAUUGCAACCUAUCAGAAACAAACCCAUCCGUGGAAUGUUGGUAACAUCACUUUGUUUCCUAAAAGGCUUGUUGGUAACCUACUAGCUGAAAUAAGGACUUCAAGCUAAUAGCCAUCACCAUUCUUGACAAUGAUAAUUAAUGGGUAUAAAUGAAGAUAUUAAACAUAAAUCAUGUUUAAGGAUGCAUCAUACCACAGAAACAAUCUUGCAUUCUCAGAAGUUAUCAGGCUUCCCAUUUUCACAAUCUCUAUAUAGUAUGAAGUAGAACAGCAAAAAGGCAAGCUUUGAAUUAACAAUUCAAUUGCUCAGAAACUACCAUAACUUAAAACUGAAAACAACCCAACCUUUAGGAGGAAUAGCUCUUCAUCAUUCUUGAAAGAUCUCAGAUUAGAAAAACUGCACUUAAAGAGGUGUCCUGGGCUAGCAACGCAGGGGAAAGUGUUCAGAAGAAAGGGCUGUGAUGCUUCCCGAAGGAGAGUAAAUCUUGUCUACAAACCCAGUUGAAGGAGAUUCAUAUGUAUGAGCAUCUUGCAAUUCUGCCAUUAUCCUCCAUACGUCUCCAGCUCCAUGAUAAGGACCUGCAACAAGAACAAACAUUGUUCCAGGAAGUAAAAUGACAUUAUAUCAGAAAAAAAGGAAGAGUGAACAGAAAUAAUUGUAAGCAAUCAACUAAAGAACGUUGUCCUCAUUGAGAAAUAUCAACGAACAACUAUGUUGCAUAGUCCCUCAAAUUGGGAUGUUACAAUAACAAAAAAAACGAAAAGAAAUUUGAAUUGCAUUGAACAUCAAAACAAUCUAGAUUAAGCUAGCUGAUGAACAGUGAACUGAACAACAACAAUCCGAUUACUCAAAAAGGGUUCAAAUUUUGCUAAAAUUAGUAUACUUGUGUAGUCAAUUCACAUAUGAAUUGCACGAACCAAUACAAACUUAUUAAAAAAAAAACCUAGAAAUAUAAAUCACAACCUAGCUUAAAUAUACACUGAAAUUCGCUACAUACAUGCGAAAAAUAAUCACAGUCAAAGAAGUGAUUUUUCCACCAAGUAGAUUACAUAGGGAUAAAUUGAAGAAGACUAAAAAAGAAAAAGCCUGAAACAUCCAUAGAUUGCACAUCAUUUCUUAUAAAUUCUAAAUUAUAGAUAGAAUAUGAAAAAAAAAGGUAAAAUAUGUUUUGAGGGACAAGGAAUCCUCUGCCACCAGCAACAACUUAAUUUCAACAGAAUCUAAAACUACCAUCUUAUUAAAUUAUUUCAUGAGUCACCAUCUAAUUAGCUGCAAAAUACUUCAGGGAAUAGUAGAAACUAAUUGUCAUAAACAUUAACUUACAUCUCUAAGUAGCAUAAUGUUGUUAGUGAAGCCAAUACAGUCAAAAAAUAUGAAGUCUCGACACAAAUGCAAACAUGAAAAUAAAAAAGAGAAAAUAAUAAAAGUAAACAAAAGAAAUCAAGAUCAAACCAGCUGUAAAAGUGACUGUAUUUCUUUUUUCUUUACCCAAAGCCUCUAGCCACUCAGGCUAUAGAUGAUUCACCGCCAUGAACAUCAAGCCUCAAACCUCACCACUAUAUAUUUUACCCUAUUAAAAUCACCCAUCUUGGAUGCUUUAAUUUGCACUACGAAGAGAGGUAAUUCAAAGAUAUCCGACGCUUUAAUGUCCACCUCAGAUGUAAUUUGGGGAUGGUAAGUAGAUGGCAAACCAAUUUCUAAGUUAAAUCCCAAAUUAAGAAUCAAAAUCCUAAAUUAAAUUUCACUGCACGUUUUUAUGAAAGAGAUAGAAAUUGAUUGAGAUUUGGGAGAACAUCUGGGAAGGCAACACAACUAAAGACGGAGAAUCAGUAGGGAGAAGAAAAGGGAAAUGGGGGCAAACCUCGAUAAGCUUUCUCCGUCAGCCGAUUGCUGUAGUAGAGAGGAGUGAGAAGUGGGAGGGGAGAGGACAAAGGAAGGUGGCAAUUUUGGACAGAGGAAUUGUAGCAUCCUCCAUUGCAGCAUACUUUUCACACCGGCAUCGAUCUAUCCACAUAUAUCUCCUCAAAAGACACAUAUUUUCGCUUGACUGGCAUUAUACAUAAACCAGAAUCGAGAAUUGCAUCAUGUUAUCAAUCAUCCAUCCUAUUAUUUAACAAAGGAUACACUGAUUGGGAUGCAAAGUUCACUACCAUUAAACAGGCGUACAGACUUAACUCAACCAGCAACAAGAGAGAAUAACUUUUCAGAAGGAAGCAAUGCAAAACAGGAGAACGGAAAGUAUACCUAUUUCUCACAAUCCCAGCACUAUUAUACGAAAAUGCAACUUUAAUUCAGCCUACAAUAACAGAAAGUUACCUUCCAACAGCAGCAACAAAAAGUAGUCAGACAAAACAAAGUCGAAGUAUUCCACAGCCACACCACGCACCUGCACAAUUAAGAGCAAGAUCAUAACCCAAUUAAAACAGACAUUAUAAAGGCGAAAUAAAAACUCUAAUCAAUAUGCAUACAACUACUGAAGCCACAAUAUAUUAAAAACACACAACCACAACUAAGCCACCACCGUUGAACCAGAAGAAAUCAAAAUCAACACAACAAGCAAAAGCAUAACAAAUAGAAACCAAAAAUUUAAGGAGUCAAUUCAUUGAGUCCAAUCUCCCAGGGAACCAUAAAAAAAACCAAUAAAUAAGGUUGCUCUACGUCCACGCAUUGGAAACAAACUCAGUUCAAUUCAACCUGAGAAACGCAAGUGCAAAAGCUAAAUGGACUCCUAUGGCGAAAUGGAGGAUCGGUCUGAAGUGAAAGAAAGAAAACCAGGAGAAACUCCUGGGACCUUAAUGGGUGCCAAGAUGGCAGAACUACAAAAACGGAAGGAGAAACUCACGAAGGCUAAGGAUGAGGCGGUACAAUCGUGGUCAGAUUCCAGACCUAUGAUUGAUGAGCUUGAAAAGCUGCAGUCGGAACUUGCUGAUGCACAGAGUCGAACAGCCUCAUCCAACGUUACUAUUUCAGAGCUUGACUCUCAGCUUGAAAGGUUGAGUAUCUCUAUCAGGGCUAAGGAGGAGGAAGAACUGAAGAUCCGAACAAUGAUCAACAGGAUAAAUCAGGUCUUGCAACAGACGUAGGAAGAGAUGGAGGAGUUCAAGAUGGAAAGAGAUGAAAAACACAGAACAGGAUUGAAACUAAAGCAAGUUCUAUGUCUAAGGUGACAGACUCUUCGCACUUUGCAACUCACCCUCAGAGCAAUACGAUUAGAAUCAGAAGCUUAUGCUGCAUCAGCUCAUGAAGCACGACGCUACAUCAGCCUUUUCCAGACAGAUGACACUAUGGUCCAGCUUACUCAAGAAGAGUACCAUGCAUUAACAAAAAGAGCAAGAGACGAAACUUCGUUGGCAGAAUGGCGAAUUGCAGUCUCUAUGGAACAAAAGCAGGCAGCCGAGGAAAGCCAAGAGACAGCUGCUAGAAGAUUGCAGAACUUGUAUUCAAAGAAUGGAUCAGGGAAAAGGAAACAUCCCGCUAAUGGGGUCUUAAAAGUUUAAAGAGCAAUUUUCUACAAUUAAUGUCAAUAUAAUUUGUAAUCGUAUUUGUGAGAGGAAAAUUUGAAGGUUGUGCUUUUGUUGUAUUAUAAAUUUAAUCACAACUUCUAACCAAAUUUAUUUUAACAACACAAAUAAAAAAUCGUACUUGGUUAAAUAUUGAAUUCCGCUAUAUAAGAUUUUUGUAAUACUAACAAUAGUUGUUCUUGUAAUGACAACUAACAAUGGAAUAUAUUAUUUUGUUCGCUAAAUAAUAUUAGCUGAUUAUAUACGUGCAUAGCACAUGAUUUUUUCUAGUAAUUUGAAGUGUUCUAGAGAUACCAUUAGGAAUAAAGUUUACGAAAUGUGGCAUGAGCAGGUGAGCUUUGUCCGAUCUUUUAGGUUGGUAUAGUUCUUAUUAUUGGUAAACCCUAUUAAUUCUUUUUAAACAAACUUACUGCUUCAUUAGAUAAAAACUACGAUACAUUUGGCAAAUUCUACUAGUUUCCAGGCAAAUUCUACUAGUUUCCCAUUUAAAUGAGAUUCACAAUCUGGAAAAUCAUUUUUAUUUUUUUUUAUAAUCUCCCCGCAAUUUACAAUGAGUUCAGAGUGCUACCUUUGGUCAAUUUAGAAGAAUUUCCAUAAAGUCAUAAAAUAUCACAUAAGCAUUUUCAGAAGUAAUGUGACAAUCUUUUUAAAACGGCAUUGUGUGUCACUUGUCACCCGUUUCGAUGUUCCAUUGCCAUUGGAUGCAUUUCUAAGGCCUCGCUUGAAUACUUAAAUUAAUUUAUGUUUCUUUUUUCUCAAGCCCUAAAUAUAAAUUUGAAAUAACCUAAUCAACAAUAUAAAGCAAACAAUUUAGUAGAGCGAAAUGAAAAGAACUCUGAAACACAUAAUGUAGUCAUAAUCGGCGUUUUACAACGCCUUUUUUUAUUUUUUCAAUUUUUUUUCUUUUUUUGGGUUUUUUGUUUUGACUUUGAUGUACCCCUAACUAUUACACAUAGAUAAAAAGGAAAGAGAGAAAUUUACUACAUAAGACCCUAUGUAGCACGAAAAAACAAAGUAGACCUUGCACUGAAAACAUUAGCAGACACAACUACUGAUAAUCAUAGACUGAAUGGACACCAUUUUAUUUUGUUUUUCCUUUUUUUCAAUUUUUUUUUCUUUUAUUGCGGUACCAAACGACUGAAGGAUGAUGGUAAUGAGUGCAUCCACCCUAAUUAGGGCAAAUUUCGAUGCCCUUGAUAAUAAUGCCAGACUUCCAGAUUGUAUCACUGGUUUGAAAAAUCCUAGCUUCUGCCGUGGAACUUCUUCCGCGGUUGUUGACGAAGUCACCCAAGUUCAAUUCCUUCCAUCCAUCACUACGGGGUUGAGGAUAUAUGCCCGGAUCCUUCGAAUCUUGUGACUUGUCAAUGAACACACUAUAACCUUCAUCAUCAGUUCCCUUAGCCUUUUCUUCAGUAAAUCUAACCGAUGCAGUUGCUUUUUCAAGUCCCUUUGGCUUGGCAUUAAGUUUGAACACGAGAUAUGUUGAAUAGGAGCUGCCCCAUGGGAGUUGGGCUGUCAACGGGCCGGGUCCGGGUCGGAAUUCAUUAUUCCGGACCCAGACCCGAAUUACUAUACCGGAUCCGACCCGUUUACCCGACGGGUCUUUUAUUCUAUGUUUCGGAUCCGGAUUCGGCGGGUCCCGGGUCCGGGUCGGGUCUACCCGCACAAAUUUAGCAAAAUUUAUAAAUUCUAAUAAAAAUGAGAAAAAAAUAUAUUUGUAAACUAAUUUCUAACUAAUGCAAAGAAAAAACCAAAUAAGCAAAGAAAUCAAAUUGACUUUACUCAAAUACAUCACCCUAAUCAAAUUAUAUUGAUAAAUAUAUAUUUUUUAAAUUAUUAAUUCAUUUAUAUCCGGAUCCGGGUCUAAUACGGGUCGGAAUACUAUAUUCCGUAUUCGACCCGUUUUUUUGUUUGACAAAACGGAAUUAAAUCCCUACCCAUACCCGCAAUAAUUUCACGGAUCCGGUCCGGAUCCGGGUCUAGACCCGACCCGUUGGCAGGCCUACUUGAGAGGUCCCUAGCAGGGACAUUGGUUCGAAUGUCAAACCAGCAAACUUCAACAAGCUCGGCAACCUCGAAGCUGUACAAAGGCAUUAAAAUCAGUUUAGGAUAAUCUUCGAAAGUCAUCAACUAACUAAAGGGAGAAGUGAGAUAAUAAUAUAAAUGCAAUAGGACUAUAUACAGGACGGGUAUGUGUGAAGUAAGUUCAGGAGGUUUACCCAGAAGGUACAUCAGUGUACCACUUCCAAUAGCGUUUAUCAUUACCGUGAUAAAUCACUAGAUCCCUCGCGUUGAUGGUGUAAGCCUGUGAUGGAAAAUUGAGCAUCGACAAGUUAAUUAAUCUUUAAAGGCAAAAUAACAAAAGACUGAUGAGUAGUUCUCGUAUUGAUGCAAACUAAUAACGACUGUUAUAGCUAGUUAUAUACCAUGUUGAAUAGAUGCAGCUCUGGAGUAGUGUUGGAAGGACCGUACGUUUUGUGGAAUGAGGGAUUGAAGAUUGGGGGAAUGGAUAUUUAUAGGCCUAUCUGAUUAAGUAACGUUUUGCAGAUAUUUCCACUCUGAGCUCAUCAGAGAUGUGUAGAAACGUGUUUCGUGCUGGUGUGAAGGUCAGAUGCUGAUGUGAAUGAGGGUGGCCUCUCACAAACCCCAAAUAUGACCAAGUACUAAGCUAUACGCUCCGCCACUUGAAAGUGUAACCAACCAACCUUAGUAUCAACAGUCAUAUAUCUUUAUCAUAGUCUGCUGUAUCAAUAUACACUAUUCUUUUCCUAAUGAAUUCACCUUCCUAUUUGUAGCGCUGAAUACAUUUGGCUAAUUCUCGUUUUGAUAUUUCACAUGAUUAUAAAUUAUGAUUUUAAAUAAUGUGUUUUUCUUGUGUUCUAGUUUUCUUUUUUGUCUAGAUCCUGGAUUUUUCACAUUCGGAAAAAGCCACGAUCUUGAAUCUACCAAAGAUCAAGCAGCUCUAUCAGAGUCCAAUUAUUCUCUGCCAUCUCUUUCUAUAGUCAAUUUUUGUAAAAACCAUAGUGAAUGCUUAUGGGAAAGUCUUCUUUGCAUGUCUAAAGAUUAGAUGAUAAAAUGAAAAUGGUAGAGCUGGUAAAUGGCACAAUUGGCAAUGUAAAAGAAGGAUAGAGCUUGCAUCAUAGGAAAAACAUCGGAUUUGUACCAUGGAAACUGUAGCAUUUCAAUUUUUUUUCUCGCACACUUGUUCAAAAAAUUUAGCAUAAUUGAAGAAAACAAAAGAUAUAAAGAGGCAAACAAAGAAAAGGAUUGAAGAUUGCCAAGGAAAAGGAAUUAUUUGAAGAGUCUUAACGAUACCAUUAAGGAUAAAUUUAAGGAUACGGAGCAGGUGUAAUUGUGUUUUGUCCAGUUUUAUUUGUAUGGUAUAAAUCAUACAAAAUUUAAUGUAAACUCACAUGACUUUCAUGUAGUUAUUGGUGCCGUUGAUGUAUGUAGAUUAGCUCUAUAUACAAAAUAAAUAUACAAAAUAGAGUCUUAUAACAAAUAUACAAAAUCUUGUAAGAAUUACGAUAACGGGACAAAAUUGAAUAAAGCUUAACUAUACUUGUACCCUUGCAAAAUUUUUAUGUUGUGUGAACGCACUUGGUUGGUUUGACCUGCUGGCAAAUACCUAAAUGAACUCUUGUCCAAGAAAAACCUUUCCGACACCUCUAGUUGUUACUAGAUACUACAUUAUAGACUCAUCACUUGAGGAAAAGUUGGGAGGAAUUUUUUUUUUUGGUCAAGGUCAAGACUUAACAAAAGGCCUUUAUGGGAUAGAAGAAUCAUUUUACGUCCAAAACGGGACACAUAAAAGUCUAUCAAGACCAAGACUUAUAAAAAAGACGUACACUAUACUGUACACUUACAAUACAUAUUUCAAAAAUAAAUUAAUUAGUUAAAUACUUGCUAAAUCAAGCAAUUUUGUCAAGACCAACAUUGUAAAUAGCUGUAGACUAGUAGUAAUAUGAACAUCACACUUAAAAGUUUUGAAAUUUCACAAGAUGCGACAAGUGAAAAUUGUGCAAAGUGACAUGAAAGCAAGAUUCUAGAUCAAAAUAGUUGUUACUUAAUUUAAAUUCGCAGAUUCAUUCAUCCAAAAAAAAAUUUUCACAGAUUCAAAUAGAAAAUCUGAAUGAUAAAAAGACAAUAACAUAAAUUAGCCAAAAUCACUAGCGCAAAUUCCACUGUUCAUUUAAAAAAACUUACUAUUAUAAUUGCAAAGUUCACCUUGCCUUUCCUAGUUGUUACCACAUUUUUGGUAAAUCAUAUUAAUUUUUUGAACAAACUUUCUACUUCAUUAGCUAAGCACUGCAAUUCAGUUUGGUAAACCCUACUACUUUUCCAACAAAUGAGAUUCAAAAUUUGGAAACUAAAUUUUAUUUUUUUAUCAUCUCCGAACAAUUUAGUAUUAGUUCAUACAAAUUUUGGUCAAUUUCGGAGAAUGGUCAUAAAUUGAUAGAAAUUCAAACAGGUAUUUCUAGGAAGUAAUGUUACAGUUUCUUUUAAAAUAGGAUUAUAUAUCAUUUGGUAGCUAACGUGAUGUCCCGUUGACAUUCGAUGCACUGCUACGGCCUUUCUUAGGUAUUGCAAUUAAUUAGGGUUGGCACUUGAAACCUAAAAGAGCCUAAUCAACAAGGUUGAAAACAAACAAUUCGUUAAAAUGAGAAUAAAAAGCUCCAAACCACACAAUGCGCAGAUGUUGCUUUGGAGUUUUGGAGGGACUAUUUCAUUGAAAGAGGAUUGAAGAUUGAGGAAAUGGAUAAUUAAGUGGCCUUUGUGGAUAUUUCCACAGUGGCCUCAUCAUGGACAUCAAAAACGUGUUCCACGUUGGUCCUUCUCAUUCUUUUACACGUACUAAGAUAAACGUAAUCCUUGGCAAAAUUCACACCGUCGUUGGUUUAUCCUUCUAGUUGAAGGGCACAAAAUGUACCAAUCAUAGUAGUAGCUCCGACAAUGACAUUAGGUAACAUCAAUUGCUCAAUAUCCGUGAAUGCAAUGUUAAGUUAAAACUUAGAUUUUAGUUUUUUUUUUGUCAAAUAAAACUUAGAGUUUAGUUAUGACUACACUGAACUGCUAAACCAUCAUCAGGUCACAACGUUGCCACUCCAAUUAUACCCAAAAGAUUAUCAUGGUAACUUGCAAUCAAUUUGAAUCACACACCAUUCUCGAUAUAACUAAAUCAUGGAAUAUUUUGAACCAUAAUUCACACUUCGAGAUCCUAAACAUUGAUAAAUUACAAGUAUGAUAGGCUUAUUUGUUACCUACACUUGCGACUAUUUCUAGGAGAAUAAGAAAUUCCAUAGGCCCAUUGAUCAAGGAAGUUCGUUUAAAUAUAUCACCAUGAAUCUUGUGAAAUAACAUAUUUCCAGUAUACACAAUCCGACUAGUUAGUUGAAUAUGUCAAAUAUUAAUUGAUAUGAAUCAAUCAUCAUAAAUGCCAAACAAUCAUCUGAAGACACCAAUCAAUCAUGUCAGUUACCUUAUGUCCAAAAAGAUUGAAUCAAUAGUUAGUUAUAUUUUCCAUAAAAAAAAAAAACAAGCCUUGUUGUCAGUUAUGUUUUCCGCGAGUAUCUUGUCAGGAAAACAAACCAUAAAUGGAGGAAUCUUGUAGACCUCAGAAGAAUGUUAGAGACGAGGUUUUUUCUUUGCACUAAAUUUUAAAAAUCUAAAUAUUCUAUUUUUUGCAAGUAUACAGAUUGUUUAUCAAGAAUAGGACAUAUUAGGUAUGGAUCUCAGAGGCAAGAUUGUCAAUUACUGAUGAUUUUCAAACUUCUUUAUUAUUUAAGUUAUCACAAAUACAAGAAAAUAAAUCUACUUUACAAACAUGAAAUAAAAGGAGUAAAAAUAGCAAUAGAAAGCUUCUGGGGCUAUGGCAUUCCUAACUAGGGUGAUGAUAUCUCUAGAACUUACUCCUUCGAAAGACUCCUCAAGAGGGGUUAAAUGUGAAUCAUUCAUGCUCAUCUCUUGAUGUUCAACCUUAGUUUCAAAGAUACAAUCAUGUAAAAUGGACAUUUCGUCAUUGGAACACAAAUUAUAUUCAUCAUUUUGAUCAAAAUGCAAUCCACUUUCACAUACAACAUUCCCACCAUUCACAAUAGGAUCAACUUACAUAUUAUUAGAAGAUAUAACUUCACACAAGGCAUGUCUUAAAUUCUACCAAAUUGAGAAGCUAAUUCAUCUAAUAUAUUCUCAACCCUAUCAAAAUGGUCAGAAGUCGUAUUAGCUAACCUUUCAAUUGCUAAUUUCCAAGACAAAAGUGCAUUAACUAACCUUUCAAUUGCUAACUUCCAAAAUGGCUUUGAUUCAAGUUGGACAAAUUCGAAUUGGUAAUUAUGAAAAUACAGAGGAGCAUUAUAUCUACAUUGAUUAUCUCAACUAUAAACAUAAGAAUUAUCCCAAUUAGGAUCAUAUUGAUCAAAACAAGGAUUGAAAGGCUCAAAUUCAUCAUAAUAAUCUACAUUUUGUGCGUGUCUACAUGUACGAGUAGCAUGAUAAUCGCCACACAAGUUACAAAUUACAUGAUUAGAAUUAAAAAUAUUAACAUUUUUUUUCUUUUCUUUCUUUUUUUUUUAUUUGGCGAACCCCAUACACGGGGAGGGACGCCACCCCUGAAUAUUAUUAAUAAAAACCAUAAAAGACACAUACAAUGCCAAUCAAUCGAGCACAACCCUACUGCGUAUUACAGGAAUUCCUGCUCUAUCCAAACCCAUGGCCCCCCCUAGCGGGUCUUGGUAACUCCGAAUGGGAGGUAUACAUGCCACUCAACGACCCUUGCACCCCCACCUUAGACAAGAUGUCCGUCACCUGGUUUGCUUCUCGAAAACAAUGACCCACAGUCCAAUCCGAACCCAACAUUGACUAGAUUGCCUCUACAUCAAAGCGAAUCAGCCAUGGACAUCUCGACUUGCCAGGGAGAACAUUUACUAAUAGUAGAGAGUCCACCUCCACCUGUACCCUGGAGACACCCCGUAACAGGCACUGCUGCACCCCAUAUAGCAACGACUUGGUUUCAGCUUGCAAACUUGUCAUCUAUCCGAGGGGAAUGGAAAAACCAAAUAGCAAAUCACCAGAGGAGUCCUGAAGGACACCACCCCCUCCACUAGGCCCUGGGUUACCUAAUGAACAUCUAUCCGUAUUUAACUUGCAGAUCCCCUGAAACGGCAGUUCCCAAUAGACCACCCUAUGGGAGUAUCGAGGCCUCCAUCCAUACAUCCUAGAGUAAAAAGCAUGCCAGGAAACAAACCCAUCCGUGGAAUGUUGGUAACAUCACUUUGUUUCCUAAAAGGCUUGUUGGUAACCUACCAGCUGAAAUAAGGACUUCAAGCUAAUAGCCAUCACCAUUCUUGACAAUGAUAAUUAAUGGGUAUAAAUGAAGAUAUUAAACAUAAAUCAUGUUUAAAGAUGUAUCAUACCACAGAAACAAUCUUGCAUUCUUAGAAGUUAUCAGGCUUCCCAUUUUCACAAUCUCUAAAUAGUAUGAAGUAGAACAGCAAAGAGGCAAGCCCUGAAUUAACAAUUCAAUUGCUCAGAAACUACAUUUGCAGCACCUAUGAUAACUUAAAACUGAAAAUAACCCAACCUUUAGGAGGAAUAGCACUUCAUCAUUCUUGAAAGAUCUCAGAUUAGAAAAACUGCACUUAAAGAGGUGUCCUGGGCUAGCAACGCAGGGGAAAGUGUUCAGAAGAAAGGGCUGUGAUGCUUCCCGAAGGAGAGUAAAUCUUGUUUACAAACCCAGUUGAAGGAGAUUCAUAAGUAUGAGCAUCUUGCAAUUCUGCCAUUAUCCUCCAUACGUCUCCAGCUCCAUGAUAAGGACCUGCAACAAGAACAAACAUUGUUCCAGGAAGUAAAAUGACAUUAUAUCAGAAAAAAAGGAAGAGUGAACGGAAAUAAUUGUAAGCAAUCAACUAAAGAACGUUGUCCUCAUUGAGAAAUAUCAACGAACAACUAUGUUGCAUAGUCCCUCAAAUUGGGAUGUUACAAUAACAAAAAAAACGAAAAGAAAUUUGAAUUGCAUUGAACAUCAAAACAAUCUAGAUUAAGCUAGCUGAUGAACAGUGAACUGAACAACAACAAUCCGAUUACUCAAAAAGGGUUCAAAUUUUGCUAAAAUUAGUAUACUUGUGUAGUCAAUUCACAUAUGAAUUGCACGAACCAAUACAAACUUAUUUAAAAAAAAACCUAGAAAUAUAAAUCACAACCUAGCUUAAAUAUACACUGAAAUUCGCUACAUACAUGCGAAAAUUAAUCACAGUCAAAGAAGUGAUUUUUCCCACCAAGUAGAUUACAUAGGGAUAAAUUGAAGAAGACUAAAAAAGAAAAAGCCUGAAACAUCCAUAGAUUGCACAUCAUUUCUUAUAAAUUCUAAAUUAUAGAUAGAAUAUGAAAAAAAAGGUAAAAUAUGUUUUGAGGGACAAGGAAUCCUCUGCCACCAGCAACAACUUAAUUUCAACAGAAUCUAAAACUACCAUCUUAUUAAAUUGUUUCAUGAGUCACCAUCUAAUUAGCUGCAAAAUACUUUAGGGAAUAGUAGAAACUAAUUGUCAUAAACAUUAACUUACAUCUCUAAGUAGCAUAAUGUUGUUAGUGAAGCCAAUACAGUAAAAAAAUAUGAAUUCUCAGACACAAAUGCAAACAUGAAAAUAAAAAAGAGAAAAUAAUAAAAGUAAACAAAAGAAAUCAAGAUCAAACCAGCUGUAAAAGUGACUGUAUUUCUUUUUUCUUUACCCAAAGCCUCUAGCCACUCAGGCUAUAGAUGAUUCACCGCCAUGAACAUCAAGCCUCAAACCUCACCACUAUAUAUUUUACCCUAUUAAAAUCACCCAUCAUGGAUGCUUUAAUUUGCACUACGAAGAGAGGUAAUUCAAAGAUAUCCGACGCUUUAAUGUCCACCUCAGAUGUAAUUUGGGGAUGGUAAGUAGAUGGCAAACCAAUUUCUAAGUUAAAUCCCAAAUUAAGAAUCAAAAUCCUAAAUUAAAUUUCACUGCACGUUUUUAUGAAAGAGAUAGAAAUUGAUUGAGAUUUGGGAGAACAUCUGGGAAGGCAACACAACUAAAGACGGAGAAUCAGUGGGGAGAAGAAAAGGGAAAUGGGGGCAAACCUCGAUAAGCUUUCUCCGUCAGCCGAUUGCUGUAGUAGAGAGGAGUGAGAAGUGGGAGGGGAGAGGACAAAGGAAGGUGGCAAUUUUGGACAGAGGAAUUGUAGCAUCCUCCAUUGCAGUAUACUUUUCACACCGGCAUCGAUCUAUCCACAUAUAUCUCCUCAAAAGACACAUAUUUUUGCUUGACUGGCAUUAUACAUAAACCAGAAUCGAGAAUUGCAUCAUGUUAUCAAUCAUCCAUCCUAUUAUUUAACAAAGGAUACACUGAUUGGGAUGCAAAGUUCACUACCAUUAAACAGGCGUACAGACUUAACUCAACCAGCAACAAGAGAGAAUAACUUUUCAGAAGGAAGCAAUGCAAAACAGGAGAACGGAAAGUAUACCUAUUUCUCACAAUCCCAGCACUAUUAUACGAGGAUGCAACUUUGAUUCAGCCUACAAUAACAGAAAGUUACCUUCCAACAGCAGCAACAAAAAGUAGUCAGACAAAACAAAGUCCAAGUAUUCCACAGCCACACCACGCACCUGCACAAUUAAGAGCAAGAUCAUAACCCAAUUAAAACAGACAUUAUAAAGGCGAAAUAAAAACUCUAAUCAAUAUGCAUACAACUACUGAAGCCACAAUAUAUUAAAAACACACAACCACAACUAAGCCACCACCGUUGAACCAGAAGAAAUCAAAAUCAACACAACAAGCAAAAGCAGAACAAAUAGAAACCAAAAAUUUAAGGAGUCAAUUCAUUGCAAUCCAACCUCCCAGGGAACCAUAAAAAAAACCAAUAAAUAAGGUUGCUCUACGUCCACGCAUUGGAAACAAACUCAGUUCAAUUCAACCUGAGAAACGCAAGUGCAAAAGCUAAAUGGACUCCUAUGGCGAAAUGGAGGAUCGGUCUGAAGUGAAAGAAAGAAAACCAGGAGAAACUCCUGGGACCUUAAUGGGUGCCAAGAUGGCAGAACUACAAAAACGGAAGGAGAAACUCACGAAGGCUAAGGAUGAGGCGGUACAAUCGUGGUCAGAUUCCAGACCUGUGAUUGAUGAGCUUGAAAAGCUGCAGUCGGAACUUGCAGAUGCACAGAGUCGAACAGCCUCAUCCAACGUUACUAUUUCAGAGCUUGACUCUCAGCUUGAAAGGUUGAGUAUCUCUAUCAGGGCUAAGAAGGAGGAAGAACUGAAGAUCCGAACAAUGAUUAACAGGAUAAAUCAGGUCUUGCAACAGACGCGGGAAGAGAUGGAGGAGUUCAAGAUGGAAAGAGAUGAAAAACACAGAACAGGAUUGAAACUAAAGCAAGUUCUACGUCUAAGGUGGCAGACUCUUCGCACUUUGCAACUCACCCUCAGAGCAAUACGAUUAGAAUCAGAAGCUUAUGCUACAUCAGCUCAUGAAGCACAACGCUACAUCAGCCUUUUCCAGACAGAUGACACUAUGGUCAAGCUUACUCAAGAAGAGUACCAUGCAAUAACAAAAAGAACAAGAGACGAAACUUCAUUGGCACAAUGGCGAAUUGCAGUCUCUAUGGAACAAAAGCAGGCAGCCGAGGAAAGCCAAGAGACAGCUGCUAGAAGAUUGCAGAACUUGUAUUCAAAGAAUGGAUCAGGGAAAAGGAAACAUCCCGCUAAUGGGGUCUUAAAAGUUUAAAGAGCAAUUUUCUACAAUUAAUGGCAAUAUAAUUUGUAAUCGUAUUUGUGAGGGGAAAAUUUGAAGUUUGUGCUUUUGUUGUAUUAUAAAUUUAAUCACAACUUCUAACCAAAUUUAUUUUAACAACACAAAUAAAAAAUCGUACUUGGUUAAAUAUUGAAUUCCGCUAUAUAAGAUUUCUGUAAUACUAACAAUAGUUGUUCUUGUAAUGACAACUAACAAUGGAAUAUAUUAUUUUGUUCGCUAAAUAAUAUUAGCUGAUUAUAUACGUGCAUAGCACAUGAUUUUUUCUAGUAAUUUGAAGUGUUCUAGAGAUACCAUUAGGAAUAAAGUUUACGAAAUGUGGCAUGAGCAGGUGAGCUUUGUCCGAUCUUUUAGGUUGGUAUAGUUCUUAUUAUUGGUAAACCCUAUUAAUUCUUUUUAAACAAACUUACUGCUUCAUUAGAUAAAAACUACGAUACAUUUGGCAAAUUCUACUAGUUUCCAGGCAAAUUCUACUAGUUUCCCAUUUAAAUGAGAUUCACAAUCUGGAAAAUCAUUUUUAUUUUUUUUAUAAUCUCCCCGCAAUUUACAAUGAGUUCAGAGUGCUACUUUUAGUCAAUUUAGAAGAAUUUCCAUAAAGUCAUAAAAUAUCACAUAAGCAUUUUCAGAAGUAAUGUAACAUUCUUUUUAAAACGGCAUUGUGUGUCACUUGUCACCCGUUGCGAUGUUCCAAUGUCAUUAGAUGCAUUUCCGAGGCCUCGCUUACAUAGUUAAAUUAAGUUAUGUUUCUUUUUCUCAAGCCCUAAUCAACAAUACAAAGCAAACAAUUUAGUAGAGGGAAAUGAAAAGAACUCUGAAACACAUAAUGUAGUCAUAAUCGGCGUUUUGCAACGCCUUUUUUUCUUUUUUCAAUUUUUUUCUUUUUUUGGGUUUUUGUUUUGACUUUGAUGUACCCCGAGCUCUUACAAAUGGAUAAAAAGGAAAGAGAGAAAAUUACUACUAAUAAUUAUAGACUGAACGGACACCAUUUUGUUUUUGUUUUUCCCUUUUUUUUCAAUUUUUUUUCUUUUACUGUGGUACAAAACGACUGAAGGAUGAUGGUAAAGAGUGCAUCCACCCUAAUUAGGGCGAAUUUCAAUGCCCUUGAUAAUAAUGCCAGACUUCCAGAUUGUAUCACUGGUUUGAAAAAUCCUAGCUUCUGCCGUGGAACUUCUUCCGCGGUUGUUGACGAAGUCACCCAAGUUCAAUUCCUUCCAUCCAUCACUACGGGGUUGAGGAUAUAUGCCCGGAUCCUUCGAAUCUUGUGACUUGUCAAUGAACACACUAUAGCCUUCGUCAUCAGUUCCCUUAGCCUUUUCUUCAGUAAACAUAACCGAUGCAGUUGCUUUUUCAAGUCCCUUUGGCUUGGCAUUAAGUUUGAACACGAGAUAUGUCGAAUAGGAACUGCCCCUUGGGAGGUCCCUAGCAGGCACACUGGUUCGAAUGUCAAACCAGCAAACUUCAACAAGCUCGGCAACCUCGAAGCUGUACAAAGGCAUUAGAAUCAGUUUAGGAUAAUCUUCGAAAGUCAUCAACUAACUAAAGGGAGAAAGUGAGAUAAUAAUAUAAAUGCAAUAGGACUAUAUACAGGACGGGUAUGUGUGAAGUAAGUUCAGGAGGUUUACCCAGAAGGUACAUCAGUGUACCACUUCCAAUAGCGUGUAUCAUUACCGUGAUAAAUCACUAGAUCCCUCGCGUUGAUGGUGUAAGCCUGUGAUGGAAAAUUGAGCAUCGACAAGUUAAUUAAUCUUUAAAGUCAAAAUAACAAAAGACUGAUGAGUAGUUCUCGCAUUGAUACAAACUAAUAACGACUGUUAUAGCUAGUUAUAUACCAUGUUGAAUAGAUGCAGCUCUGGAGUAGUGUUGGAAGGACUGUACGUUUUGUGGAAUGAGGGAUUGAAGAUUGCGGGAAUGGAUAUUUAUAGGCCUAUCUGAUUAACUGACGUUUGCAGAUAUUUCCAAUCUUACCUCAUCAGAGAUGUGUAAAAACGUGUUUCGUGCUGGUGUGAAGGUCAGAUGCUGAUGUGAAUGAGGGUGGCCUUUCACAAAACCACAAAUAUGAGUAUAUGACCAAGUACUAAGCUAUACGCUCCGCCACUUGAAAGUGUAUCCAACCAACCUUAGUGUCAACUGUCAUAUAUCUUUAGCAUAGUCAGCUGUAUCAAUAUACACUAUUCUUUUCCUAAUGAAUUCACCUUUCUCUUUGUAGCGCUGAAUACAUUUGGCUAAUUCUCGUUUUGAUAUUUCACCUGAUUAUAAAUUAUGAUUUUAAAUAAUGUGUUUUUCUUGUGUUCUAGUUUUCUUUUUUGUCUAGAUCUUGGAUUUUCACAAUUGGAAAAAGCUACGAUCUUGAAUCUACCAAAGAUCAAACAGCUCUAUCCGAAUCCAAUUAUUCUCUGCCAUCUCUUUCUACGGGCAAUUUUUGUAAAAACCAUAGCGAAUGCUUAUGGGAAAGUCUUCUUUGCAUGUCUAAAGAUUAGAUGAUAAAAUGAAAAUGGUAGAGCUGGUAAAUGGCACAAUUGGCAAUGUAAAAGAAGGAUAGAGCUUGCAUCGUAGGAAAAACAUGGGAUUUGUACCAUGGAAACUAUAACAGUUCGAUUUUUUUUCUCCCACAGUUGUUCAAAAAAUUUAGCAUAAUUUGUAUGAUUGAAGAAAACAAAAGAUUUAAAGAGGCAAACAAAGAAAAGGAUUGAAGAUUGCCAAGGAAAAGGAAUUAUUUGAAGAGUCUUAACGAUACCAUUAAGGAUAAAUUUAAGGUUACCGAGCAGGUGUAAUCGUGUUUUGUCCAAUUUUAUUUGUACGGUAUAAAUCAUACAAAAUUUAAUGUAAACUUACAUGACUUUCGUGUAGUUAUUGGUGCCGUUGAUGUAUGUAGAUUAGCUCUAUAGCACAUACAUGAAAUCUUGUAAUAAAUAUACAAAAUAGAGUCUUAUAACAAAUAUACAAAAUCUUGUAAGAAUUACGCUAACGGGAUAAAAUUGAAUAAAGCUUAACUAUACUUGUACCCUUGCAAAAUUUUUAUGUUGUGUGAACGCACUUGGUUGGUUUGACCUGCUGGCAAAUACCUAAAUGAACUCUUGUCGACGAAAAACCUUUCCAACACCUCUAGUUGUUACUAGAUACUACACUAUGACCAUCACUUGUGGAAAAGUUGGGAGGGAAUUUUUUUUUUUUUUUUUGGUCAAGGUCAAGAAUUAACAAAAGGCCUUUAUGGGAUAGAAGAAUCAUUUUACGUCCAAAACGGGACACAUAAAAGUCUAUCAAGACCAAGACUUAUAAAAAAGACGUACACUAUACUGUACACUUACAAUACAUAUUUCAAAAAUAAAUUAAUUAGUUAAAUACUUGCUAAAUCAAGCAAUUUUGUCAAGACCAACAUUGUAAACAGCUGUAGACUAGUAGUAAUAUGAACAUCAAACUUAAAAGUUUUGAAAUUUCACAAGAUGCGACAAGUGAAAAUUGUGCAAAGUGACAUGAAAGCAAGAUUCUAGAUCAAAAUAGUUGUUACUUAAUUUGAAUUCGCAGAUUCAUUCAUCCAAAAAAAAAAUUUCACAGAUUCAAAUAGAAAAUCUGAAUGAUAAAAAGACAAUAACAUAAAUUAGCCAAAAUCACUUGUGCAAAUCUCACUGUUCAUUCAAAAAAACUUACUAUUAUAUUUGCGAAGUUCACCUUGUCUUUCCUAGUUGUUACCACUUAUUUGGCAAAUCAUAUUCAUUUUCCGAACAAACUUUCUACUUCAUUAGCUAAGCACUGCAAUUCAGUUUGGUAAACCCUACUACUUUUCCAACAAAUGAGAUUCAAAAUUUGGAAACUAAAUUUUAUUUUUUUAUCAUCUCCAAACAAUUUAGUAUUAGUUCAUACAAAUUUUGGUCAAUUUCGAAGAAUUGUCAUAACUUGAUAGAAAAUCAAACAAGUAAUUCUAAGAUGUAAUAUUACAAUUUCUUUUAAAAUAGGAUUAUAUAUCAUUUGGUAGUCACCGUGAUCUCCCGUUGACAUUCGAUGCAUUUUUACGGCCUUUCUUAGGCAUUGAAAUUAAGUGGGGUUGGCACCUAAAAUCUAAAAGAGCCUAGUCAACAAGGUUGAAAACAAACAGUUCAUUACAAUGAGAAUAAAAAACUCCAAACCACACAACGAGCAGAUGUUGCUUUGGAGUUUUGGAGGGACUAUUUCGUUGAAAGAGGAUUGAAGAUCGAGGAAAUGGGUAAUUAAGUGGCCUUUGAGGAUAUUUCCACAGUGCCCUCAUCAUGGACAUGCAAAAACGUGUUCCACGUUGGUCCUUCUCACUCUUUUACCCGUAUUAAGAUAAACGUAAGCCUUGGAAAAAUUCACACCGUUGUUGCAAUGACAUUAGGUACCAGCCAUAGUAGUAGCUCCGACAAUGACAUUAGGCAACAUUAAUUGCUCAAUAUGCGUGAAUGCAAUGUUAAGUUAAAACUUAGGGGUCCGUUUGGAUUAGCUGUUUUUGGGGUUGUUUUUCAAAAACAACACUGUAGCAUUUCGUUUCAAAAACAACACUGUAGAUUUUAGUUAUGACUACACUGAACUGCAAAACCAUUAUCAGGUCACAGCGUUGCCACUCCAAUUAUACCCAAAAGAUCAUCACGGUAACUUGCAAUCAAACACACCAAUCGCGGAAUAUUUUGGACCAUAAUGCACACUUCUAGAUCCAAAACAUUGAUAGAUUACAAGUAUGAUAAGCUUAUUUGUUACCUACACAUGCGACUAUUACUAGGAGAAUAAGAAAUUCCAAAGGCCCAUUGAUCAAGGAAGUUCGUGUACAUAUAUCGCCAUGAAUCUUGUGGAAUGACAUAUUUCCAGUAUACACAACACAUCCGACUAGUUAGUUGAAUAUAUCAAAUAUUAAUUAAAUAGCAUGAUUUAGUUAAUGAAAUAUUAAUCAUAACACAAAAUUCAUGGACUAAUGGCAGUCAAUUAACUAACGAUGUAUACUUCAUGCAUGAUGGAUUAUUUCUUGUUUAAACAAUAGUAGAUUGGUGCGACAGGAACUCCAUCUAACAAAAUCAGGCUAAAAGAUAAGAAAAUAGGAAGGAUAGUAAGAUUGAUAGAUAUAGAUUAAUAAAGCCAGGGAAUAUUUUUUUUACUAGGAAAAGCUCUAACAUUAAUGGCUACGCAUAUAUCUUUUACAUGAUUAAUACAUCUCUUUAUCAACUUUCCCCAACUAAUCUGAUAGAGUAAAAAAAUAAAAAAAGGAAAAACACAUGUUCCAAAUCAAUUUUCCAUCCAGCUGGAUGGCCAGAAAGUGGAAAGUUCGUUGAGGGAAAAAUCAAGGUUGAACUUUAUAUAAAUUUGGCAUCAAAUUAUCAUCCUAAUUUGACAUAUAUAUUCACAGUUGUAAAGCUAAAAGAAUUUCAACCGAGAAGCAGUAAAAAUUAAAAACACAUAGAUAAUAACAAUAUAAAACCAAAAAAAGAUUUAAAUUUAAAUGCCACAAGAAGGAAAAAGAAAUCUAAAUUAACUAGCACUAAGGCAAAAAAAAUGCCGAUAAAAACCUCCAAAAAGGAAAAAAAAAUUGUUGAACCAACCAAAGUCCCAAAUUUGGUAAAACAAAAAUGAGUUCUCUACCACCUUACCCACAUGUUGAUUCGAGAUUAGAUUGCAGGUUGUGGACUUGUAAGGCUCCGGAGUUUUAGAUUUGGAGCUUGAAGCAUGAAAAAGAAUAUGAAGGUCCUAAAGGAAGAGAUGGGAGUAAGGGUGUGUCACACCCUAUUUUUUGAAAAUAAAAGAGAAAGGUGUUAGAAAAAUGAGUUUUUGAUUUUAGAAAAUAAAGAAAAAGGGCCUAAAAUGGGAUUUUAAAUAAUGCGAUGGUUUGGGCCCAAAAUAUUAGUCUAAAAAGAGUUUUAAAAAGAAAGUCGCUACUUGGUAUUGAGUUUAGAUAUACCAAGGCAAAAAAUUGAUUGACUCAAAUUUAAGGCGCCCUUUUAACCUAGUCGAGACUAGUUGCGAGAUUUAGUCAAAAAUUUUCCUAAUUCUAACCUAUAAAACUUAUUACAUUUGGAUGUUUAUAUAUGGAUGUAAACCUAGAUCUAAGGGGUAUCGAGAGGGAUGAGAUGUCUCUUCAAAGUUUAACUGGUAUAAAUUACAUUAAUUGUGAAGCCCAAAAAUGAUCCCUUGAAGAGGUCACGGAUAUGCAAAAGAUAAGACUCAAGAAAGAAAUUAUGAUAUAAAUAUACAAGACCUAGAAGAGGGGAAUGCAACAUAACGGGUACGAGAGACUAAGAUUCGUGACGCAAUUUUCCUUCUUUCAAAGGGGUAAUAGUGUGCUAAGACUAAAAAAAGCCAUAUUCACCUAUUUCCCAUAUUCGAAAGAAGACUCUUGACGGGCUCUAAACAUAAGUGCAAGUUUAAUCCAAAAUACACCCGUUUGACUGCAAGUAUACAAGUCAACUACUAGUUUAAGAUACAUAUCGAGUCGAUCCCAUGAGAAGCAACUUUACAAGUACUAAGGUUCUUUACUUGCUCUACUAUUUAGACUAACUAUCGAUAAAACAAUGAAAAUAUCAAUACUAACUAUCUAACUAAAUUAACUAGAUAACUUGCAAGUAAAUAAUGGAGAAAUUUCACUAAAUACUUGAGUUUAGGGAAAUAGACUCCACUUAUGGCAUAAAAGAUACAAGUAAAUAGCUUUACCUCUUAUUACUAUUCUUGUUUAACAGGGAUUCAAUUCCAUAUAUAGCAAAACUCAUUCUUAUGAUGAAAUGGCCUAAAAUAGUCUAGUUUUCCCUAUUCUCAUGGUGAAUAACUAAAUCUACUUUUGUAUUCUUCAUGAAAUGCAAGUAUAAUCCACUUAAAUGUACUUCUACUCUCAUGAGUCUACUCCUUAAGCUCCAUUUAUGUUGGUCCAUCAGUAUUACCUACUUUCAUUGAAUAAUAACAACUAAUAGCUUGCUAUUGGUGAUCAAGCAACAAGAAGUGAUAAACAUGCAUAAAUGGACAAGUUAAUAUAAGAUGUAACAAGUAAAAAUCAUAUUCAACUCAUAACAAUUGGCCAUAAGUUUCAUCUACUCCCCAGAUCUAGAAAUUCAGUUACUCAUGUGAAUAAAGACAAUAAUGAGCAUAACUUCAUUGCAUGCAAAUGUAAUGAAUCACAAGUAAAGAGAAAAAUAGAGGAAGCUUAGCGAAGGUGAUGAACAAGCUCCCAAAUCUUCUAUUUCUUCAAUAAUAUGAGUGAUAUAAUGAAGUCUCCAAGUUUUUCUUACGAGUUCCUGACUAGAGAGAAUAAGAAAAGACUACCACUAAAUCCUACCAAAAACUAACAAGAACUUCCUAGAACCCCUUCUCUCCUCAAUGAUUCUUGCAUAUGUAUUGUUAGAGGAGUCAAAAUGUGGUUAAUGACAAGACAUAAAGCUAAUUUUCUCCUUCCUAAUGACUCUUGAGCAUGUGCAGCCGAAAUUCUUGUCUAGAAUUGAGCUAGAAAGCAGUGUGAAAACAAAAUAAGUUGCGAAAAAAAGGAGAGAACACGCAGGCUUUGAAUAUUCAACCUAAUUCCACGUAUUCUGAACUCACGUUUUCUCUUCUGCGACUUAAGCACCUCUUAAACUGAUAUUUUCUCAAUGAUGGAGGCUGAACUAACUCUUUUGCAAAACAUAAAAGUUGUAAUCUUUGAGUUAGCUUUCCAAUGCUUAAGAAUCAUCCAACUUGGAGCUCUGUGGAUCAAAAAAUGACCAAAAUACCCUCAACUGGUCAAAACUCUAUUUCAGCUUUCAACAACAAAAUUGCACUUCUGUAUUUUGACUUUUUGACAAUGAAAAUGAGUAAACUGGACUCCAAUGUCACAUGCCAAAUGUACAUCUAUCUCUUAGCUUCAAAAUGGUUCAAGAAUCACCUCAAUCCGAUGCUUGUAGUUCGAAAUAUUGCCGAAAUACCAUAAGGUGUCAAAGCAGGAAAACUUGCAUCUCAUCUUUUGAACAUUUACACUUCAUGUCUUUUUAAAUUACUGCAAAUCAUCAAUAAUCAUCCAAUUAUCUUUUGCAUUAACUCCAAUUGAUGAUUGAAUCAUUAAACAUACAAAAGCAUGAAAUUUUCACAUUAAAAUCCAUAGAAAUGCAAUUUUUGCCACUUAAACCCAAAAAAUGCAUAACUUUACUAGAAACUUAAGUAAUUAGCUAUAAAUAUGACUAAAACAUACCAAAACUAAAUAAUAAAAUACACUAAAAAUAUAUAAAAUGAUGUUGGUUAAAUGAAGGUUAAAUGAUGUUGGUUGGAUGAUUCCUUGCAAGGAAAUGGUGAAAAAAUAAGAAUUUGUAAAGUGUGUGUGAGUGUGGGUGAGGCGAAAAGAAUGAAAGAAAACAGGGCAGUCGCAUUUUCUAUGUAGUCACUGCAGAAUACAAUACGCGACCAUAGAAUACGCGACUUAAGGUCGAGUAUUUCUGAUACCCCAUAUUCUUCUUUGUUUUCGGAAAAUUCAAAAUGCGACUCUGUGAAUACGCGACUUCAAUUCGCGUUUUGUAUUUUAAUCUUGCAAAACAGAAAACGCGAUUUAUAAUGAGACAUUCAAAGCUUUCCAAUGGUAUAAAAAUCCCCUGCUAGUUCAUUUUUUGUAAACCGUAGCGACUCGGCAAAGUGGACUGUCCUGCUUUGCUAGUCUGUCCGAGAGAAACUGGGAAGCUGCAUCUUGUGGCUCGAUUUUGUCCCACUUGUGAAAAGAUUCAAAAUGAUGUCUUCUAAUGAAUUGUAGAAUUUUGAACCUAGUUUCCAAUGCCAUAAACCAUUCUCAAUUUGGAGUUGUAUAGUGCUAGAUAUGGUUUGAUUUCGAAAAUGCGCCAAAGCUGAAAACUGGAAAAUUUUCCCUUCCGUGCUCACCGAAUGGUCAAAUCUAUUUUGGGAUGUUAUAUUUCAAAAAUUUUAGUGUCAUUUAAACAUCAGUUGCUUCUUAAAUGUUUCUAGAAUCUUGAUUUCAAAAAUGGAGCGAAUUGGGGCUGAUUUCGUUGGACAAAACUUUUCAAAAAGAAAGAGAAAUAGGAUGACAGAUUUGCUUUGACAGAUUUCACAAACUUUGGUUGUUUUGUUAACUGCCUUCCCGUGCAAGUUCUUACCUAAAUUUUAAUAGAGAGGCAGUCCAUAUAUGGAAGUUUAAGAUACCAAAUUUGGUGUAAUUUCAGUACCAUUUCGAUAUACAAAUGAUGCCCCAAAGAUUGCUCUUCAAAACUGGAAAUCCACUGUUCAAGUCACGAAAAUCAACCAACUUCAAACUGUUAUAUCUUGUUGCUCAAAACUCCAAAUUUAGUUCCGCUUGUUGUGUUUGAAACUUGAUUUGGAACUCUUAUUGUGUUAUAAAUUCUAGAGGCUGAUUCACAUCCUGUGAAUUUUACCGAAUUUCCAAACAUCACUGAAAAUCAAGACUAGUUCUGUCUUGUCUCCAUGAAUCAGCAACUUUGAACUGAAAAUGAAUGUUUUCUGUUUGGAAUCUUGGAAAAGUUCUUCUGAAAAGUUUUAGUACUUUUAAACUAGUUUCCAAUAGUGUAAAGUUUUCUAUUUUUGGAUAUACCAACUCAAGAUCUGAUUUUACCAAGUUUGUCGAUCAAAGCUGAAAUUCUUGAUUUCUUAGGAAAUGAGUUUUGAGAACCUUUCAUUUCUUUUUGAUAUUGAUAGUUCGUUUUAAACCUGAUUUCAUGGAGGAUACGAGUUUUCCAUUGUGACUUUAAAUCUUCACUUUUAAAUCUUGAAUUACAAUAGAGUAAAGCUCUUUUAAGACAUUGUCCUAUGUCUAAGUGAACGCACUUCCUUCCUUGUAUGUUAAGUGAUUGUGAGUAUACGUGAGUGCUAAUUGAUCACUAUUUCUUCAGGCCCUCAAGAGGAUAUUGAAGGAAACCUCGGAGCAGACCACUAAAGACUUUAUUUGCUCACUUACUUUUGAAUUGGUAAGUGUCAAGUGCAUGAAUUGUUGCUAUAUCCUGAAUUGUUCAUUAUUAAUUGAGUAUUUUGAAAUUGUCGAGACGAGCGUGUAUUUUAUCGCACUCGUUCUCUUUUAAGUGAAUUUAUAAUUGAAGUAUGUGAAGUGAAAAUUGUAUUUGUGUUGAAUCGAUGUCAAUUGGAGUGAAUCUCAUCGACUUACAAUUAUAUUGGUAUUGACUUUAUAUCGAUUGGAGUGAAUCUCAUCGACUUAUAAUGAUAUUUGUGUUGAAUCGAUGUCGAUUGGAGUGAAUCUCAUCGACUUAUUCUUAUAAUUGUGGGGGACGCCCAAACUCAUAGGCUAACCUUGCGACUCGAGCUGGCAUGAGCUUGGUCGGGAAGUUUGGUGAACCAUGGGAUAGAUUUUAGAGCAUGAUCUAUUUGAGAGAUCUUACUUGGUAUACUCGAGUAAUAUUGCCUUUUCUAAUCAACGUUCGGGCAUGGUUAGGGGGUGUAACGGUGGACAGAAACUUGAUGUUAAGAGGAGUUCUACGAACUUAAUACCUACCCGGUUGACGGAGAGUCAUCACGUGGAGGUAUUGGAUCGAGUCUCGACAAAGCAAGUGGAAUCUAGCUCCUGAGAGCUCCCGUAUCCUUAUUGAUUGUGUUUUAUUAUUUAUUGUGAAUUACAUGAACUCUUUAGCUUUAUCUUUCAUAUAAGUGUUAUUGUUACUUGAACUAUGUGUUUGCAUGAUUUUCUUGGCCUUACUGAGCGUUAGCUCAUCCCAUUAGUUUGUUUUCCUUAACAGGAGCUCGGAAUGGAAAGAAUUUUGAGGAAGCCGACUUGAUUACUUUUGAUUAGAAUCUAGUGAUGUAAUCGAUUAGUCAACUUCUAGUGGUUAUAUUUUGGAGAAAAUUGAUGUACAUUUGAUAACUUGUGAUGUAAGAUUUGAUUAUUUAUGUAAGAAAGUGACUUUUCUUUAUUUUGGCUUUCAAUAUCAGUGAUGUAUCGUUAAGUUCAAAAUUGACUUGUAUCGAGUCCUGACGAGAGUUAGACAGACGUUCCGCGGAUACCCUUGGAUUCGCCUGAGGGAGAAGUGGGGGCGUCACAUCAGCUCGGUAACUUGCAAUCAAACACACCAAUCACGGAAUAUUUUGGACCAUAAUUCACACUUCUAGAUCCAAAACAUUGAUAGAUUACAAGUAUUUGUUACCUACACAUGCGACUAUUGCUAGGAGAAUAAGAAAUUCCAUUGGCCCAUCGAUCAAGGAAAUUCGUAUACAUAUAUCACCAUGAAUCUUGUGGAAUAACGUAUUUCCAGUAUACACAACACAUCCGACUCGUUAGUUGAAUAUAUCAAAUAUUAAUUAAAUAGCAUGAUUUAGUUAAUGAAAUAUUAAUCAUAACACAAAAUUCAUGGACUAAUGGCGGUCAAUUAACUGACGAUAUAUACUUCAUGCAUGAUUGAUUAUUGUUUGUUUAAACAAUAGUAGAUUGGUACGACAGGAACUCCAUCUAACAAAAUCAGGCUAAAAGAUAAGAAAAUAGAAAGGAUAGUAAGAUUGAUAGAUAUAGAUUAAUAUAGCCAGGGAAUUUUUUUUUUUUACUAAGAAAAGCUCCAACAUUAAUGGCUACGCAUAUAUCUUUUACAUGAUUAAUACAUCUCUUUAUCAAUUUUCCCCAACUAAUCUGAUAGAGUAAAAAAACAAAAAAAAGGAAAAACACAUGUUCUAAAUCAAUUUUCCAUCCCGUUAUAUGGCCAAAAAGUAAAAAGUUCAUUGAGGAAAAAUCAAGGUUGAACUUUAUAUAAAUUCGGCAUCAAAUUAUCAUCCUAAUUUGAAAUAUAUAUUCACAGUUGUAAAGCUAAAAGAAUUUCAGCCGAGAAGCAGUAAAAAUUAAAAACACAUAGAUAAUAACAUAAUAAAACCAAAAAAAGAUUUAAAUUUAAAUGCUACAAGAAGGAAAUAAAUCUAAAUUAAUUAGCACAAAGGCAAAAAAAAGUGCCGAUAAAAAUCUCCAAAAAGGAAAAAAAAUUGUCGAACCAACCAAAGUCCCAAAUUUGGUAAAAGAACAAUGAGUUCUCUACCACCUUACCCACAAGCUGAUUCGAGAUUAGAUUGCAGGUUGUGAACUUGUAAGGCUCUGGAGUUCUAGAUUUGAAGCUUGAAGCAUGAAAAAGAAUACGAAGGUCCUAAAGGAAGAGAAGGGAGUAAUGGUGUGUCACACCCCUUUUUUGAAAAUAAAAGAGAAUGGUGUUAGAAAAUGAGUUUUUGAUUUUAGAAAAUAUAGAAAAAGGGGCUAAAAUGGGAUUUUAAAUAAUGCGAUAGUUUGGGCCAAAAUAUUAGUCUAAAAAGGGUUUUAAAAAGAGAGUCGCCACUUGGUAUUGAAUUUAGAUUUACCAAGUCACCCAAAAUGUUUGAAAAAUAAAAAAAAAGUAAAUAAAACUCAUUUAGACGCUUUCAGGUCUUUGAAAAUAAGAAAAUAGUUCAAGAGUCACAGUUGAAGAAAAAAAGACAGAAUUGAUCGAUUCAAAUUUAAGGCACGUUUUCAACCUGGUCGAAACUAGUUACGAGAUUUAGUAAAAAAUUUUCCUAAUUCUAACCUAUAAAACUUAUUACAUUUGGAUGCUUACAUAUAGAUGCAAACCUAGAUCUAAAGGGUAUCAAGAGAGACGAGAUGUCUCUUCAAAGUUUAAUUGGUACAAAUCACAUUAAUUAUGAAGCCCAAAAAUGAUCCCUUGAAGAGAUCACGAAUAUGCAAAAGAUGAAACUCAGGAAGGAAAUUAUGAUACAAAUAUACAUGACCUAGAAGAGGGGAAUGCAACAUAACGGGUAUGGAAGAAUAAGAUUCGUGAUGCAAUUUUUUUUCUUAUAAAGGGGUAAUAGCUGUUAAGGCUAAAAAAAAAGUCAUACUCGUCCAUUUCUCAUAUUCGAAGGGUAACUCUUGACAGGUUCUAAAUAUAAGUGCAAGUUUAAUCUAAAAUACACCUGUUUUACUGCAAGUAUACAGGUCAACUAGUAGUUUAUGGCAUAUAUCGAGUCGAUCCUACGAGGAGCAAUUUUACAAGUACUAGGUCCUUUACUUGCUCUAUUAUUUAGAUUAACUAUCAAUAAAAGCAAUGAAAAUAGCAAUACUAACUAUCUAACUAAAUUAACUGGAUAACUUGCAAGUAAACAAUGGUGAAGAAUCCACUUAUGGCACAAAAGAUACAGAUAAAUAGAUUUAUCUCUUGUUACUAUUCUUGUUUAACUAGGGAUUUAUUUUCAUAUUUACCAAAACUCAUUUUUAUGAUGAAAUGGCCUAGAAUAGUUUAGUUUUUCCUAUUCUCAUGAUGAAUAACCAGAUCUAUUUUUGUAUUCUUCAUAAAAUGCAAGUAUAAUCUACUUAAGUGCACCUCUAUUCUCACGAGUCUACUCCUUAAUCUCCACUUAUGUUGGUCCAUCAUUAUUAUCUACUUUUAUUGAAUAAUAACAACUAAUAACUUGCUAUUGGUGAUUAAGCAACAACAAGUGAUAAACAUACAUAAAUGGAUAAGUUAAUAUAAGAUGUAACAAGUGUAAAUCAUAUUCAACUCAUAUCAAUUGGCCAUAAGUUUCAUCUACUCCCUUGAUCUAGAAAUUUAGCUACUCAUGUGAAUAAAGACAGUAAAGAGCAUAAAUUCAUUGCAUGCAAACCUAAUGGAUCACAAGUAAAGAGAAAGAUAGAGAAAGCUUAGCCAAGGUGAUGAACGAGCUCUCAAAUAUUUUAUUUCUUCAACAAUAUAAGUGAUACAAUGAAGUCCCCAAGUUUUUCUUAUAAGUUCCUAACUAGAGAGAAUGAGAAAAGACUAAAACUAAAUCUUACCAAAAACUAACAAAAACUUCCUAGAACCCCUUCUCUCCUCAAGGAUUUUUGCAUAUGUAUUGUUAGAGGAGUCAAAAAGUGGUUAAUGACAAGACAUAAAGCUCAUUUCUCCUCCCUAAUGACUCUUGAGUGAAUUCUUGUCUAGAAUUGAGCUAGAAAGCAGUGUGAAAACAAAACAAGUUGCAAAAAAGAAAGAGGAGAAUACGCAGGCUUUUAAUACACGACCUAAUUCCACGUAUUCUCAGCUCACGUUUUCUUUUCUGUGACUUAAGCACCUCUUCAACUGAUAUUUUCUCAAUGAUGGAGGCUGAACUAACUCUUUUACAAAACAUGAAAGUUGUAACCCUUUGAGUUAUCUUUCCAAUGCUUAAGAAUCAUCCAACUUGGAGCUCUGUGGAUCGAGAAAUGACCAAAAUACCGUCAAAUGGUCAAAACACUAUUUCAGUUUUCGAUAACAAAAUUCCACUUCUAUAUUUUGACUUUUUUGACUAUGAAAAUGAUUAAACUGGACUUCAAUGUCUCAUACCAAAUGUAGAUCAAUCUCUUAGUUUCAAAAUGGUUCAAGAAUCUGUGAGAACCUGAAAAUUUUCAUAUUUUACAGGCAUUAUUUUAUUUCUUUGCCUACAUUUUUAUUACUUUCCUUUAAAAUAUUACAUUUUCUAUAUAUUUUAUAAGUAAGUACAGUUUUUAAAUCAUUUUUCUGAUAUAAGUUAGUGUACGUUCAAUUUGAAGUGCAUUAGGGACGUGGGACCCGCUAGUGCGGUAAGUGCGAUAAAUUUGGACCAAUAGUUGGAGUUUUGUGUUAAGUGAUAUAAUUCUCCAGGGAGCUAGAAGAUAAUGGGAGGUUAGCUAGAUUAAUUAGUAUUGGAGAGAAGAAGAUAAGAUUAAAGUUUAGAGGCGCCACGUGUUGCGACCCGAUUAGUGAGUGGACUUUGACUAAGAGUAUUUCACUUUCCUAAACUUCAAUUUUGACCCAAUUUUUAUCCCAUUUUAAGCUUCCUUGGCCGGCCACCUUUAGGGAAAGAAACCAAGAGAGAAACUUCAUUUGUUCUUCAAUUUCUUGCCCAAUCUUGAAUUCCAACCAGAAUUUUUGCAAAACCCUCCAUAAAAGUUGUUUACUAAGGUGGAUUAAAGGAUUGAGUGGAGUGAUUUUGGAAGGACAAGCUCCAAGCUACUACCCUUCUUGAGGUGUUAAGGUACUUUGUCAAGAAAUCUUCUUUUUGUUACUAAUAAUGGUAAAUUAGUAGUUUGCAGUGGCUAAAUAUGUUAUUUUAUGGAAGAUUUUGUGGUUUGAGGUAGAGUUAGCUAAAUUUCAGAUUUUUUGGGUGAUUUUUCUGCCCUCAUAUGAUGAUUAAUGAUUGGCCUUGGAAUGGUAGCUUUGUUAUGUGUAAAAUGAAGCUUUUAUGUGUUAGUUGUGGUUGAUUGCGGAAAUUUCAGUUUGUACGGAAAAUUUAAGCUUUAGGGUUUCAAUUUGGGGGCUUUCUUCUGAUUGGUAUUGGAGCUAUUAAUUGGCUCAAAUUGAAGAGUAUUGUGGCCCUAAUUAGGUGUGUUUUAUAACUUAUGAUUUGUAUGUGCAAUUGUGGUUGAGUUGUAGGAUGAAAAAGUAAGGAAUUUAGGGGAUAUGCUGUCCAAAUUUUGGGGAUAUUGGAUUUCUUCGAGCUUGGUUUGAUUUGGGGUAUAUAAGAAGACUUUUGGGUCGCUCGAGCCCUAGGUCUUCAUGUUACCUUUUCGUUCCAAAAAUCAUGUUUUGUACCCUUGCAUUCGUAAUUAUUUGAAGAGGCAUACGACUUGUAGUCGAGCCUCAUUUGUGCAUUUCGUUUACUGGAUUUGUGGCUAUGGGAACCAUAAUUGCUUACCUUGGUUAUUCUAGGGUUUCUUGGUGAUUAGAGCCCUACUUUGGUUGAAACUUUUGAAGUAUCCUUGCUUAACUGGUGAGUGUACCAUUCCCCUCAAUUGUUGCGUAACUUGGUAUAUGUGCAAAUUGGGACUUGAAUGACUGUAUCAUCUGUUUAUUCUGUAUGAGACGAGGGUGUACUUUAUCACACUCGUUCUCUGGCCUGUGUGACUUGUUUCAUGUAUAUACUCGAAUUUGUUACUUGCGCCUGAUAUGAUGUCGUUUGGAAGUGUAUCCAACAACCUUCCUGUUAAAUCUAAGCUCAAUCUCAUGGGGAGUCAAUUAAAUCAAGCCAGCAAGGGCUUGGUUGAGGAAAAUUGACAAUCCAUGGGUGCCUGUUCUUGGGAAAUCUUUGGGUAUUGGAAACUUUAGAUUUCCGGUAUACUCGAGUAUUACCAUUCCUGUUCUUGUUUGGCGUUCGAGCCCAGUAAGGGGCAUGUUUGGUGAACGGGAUUUUGCAUAAGAGGGGUCUACAGACAUGUGUGUUUCAUUAAACGUUGAUGGAGGGUCAACGAGGCUGGAUCAAGUAUUGCAACGGGGAUUUGGCUCCUGAGCCACCUGUAUCCUUUAAAUUGUGGUGUUCAUUCAUUUCUCGUAUUUGAUGUGUAUAUGUGCCUUAAAAGUGAAUUCUCAUGAUUUCUACUGUUUAUACUUUUGGUACCUCAUUGAGCUUUUAACUCACCCCGUUCCGUUAUUCUUGUUUUCCUUACAGGGAACAAUCUUUUGGAACUUCGCUGUUUUGAAGAAUGAGUUGAGCUAGUUAGAAAUUCUUUUGUUCUUUUGGUAUAGCUCCUCGACAAUUUGGAAACCCUAAAUGUAUCUUAAUACAAUGUUUCCUUUGGAUUUGUAAACUUAACAAUAUGAAUAUUUUAAAGAGUUUCCUCAUGUUUAUGUAGCAUAUGUAUUUGGGAAUGUUCAUUCUCUCAUGAGAGACAAAGUUUACUUGUAUUUGGUUGAGUUUUAGACGAGUGCGAAAGUUGAUCGAGAAAAGAAGAAAUAUUGGCGAGGUUACUGUCACCGAAUCCGGCCAAGUUUUGGCCGGAUACCUGGCCGAACCAGCAGGGAAGUUUUGAAAAAUUUUUAUUUUGGCCUCUGCCUCCAAUCCGACCUAGAAUCCGGCCAAAAACCGGCCGGAUUGUGACAUGGCAGUCACUAUUCACCUUCAGUUCGAUUUUCGUUUUCCAUUCUGUGGUUGUUGAAUUGUUUAAACGCACUAAUAUAUUUCGGAACAUUUUAGUUUGUAUAUAAUCAUCUUAGUAGUCCUGGCGAGAGUUGGGCAGGCAGUUCGCUAACCCAUUUGGUACGCCUUAGGGGAAGGUGGAACUGUCACAGAAUCACCUCAAUCCAAUGUUUGUAGCUUGAAAUAUCGCCGAAAUACCAUAAGGUGUCAAAGCUAGAAAACUUGCAUCUCAUCGUUUGAACAUUUUACACUUCAUGUCUUUUUUAAAUUACUUCAAAUAAUCAAUAAUCAUCCAAUUAUCUUUUCCAUUAACUCCUAUUGAUGAUUGAAUCAUUAAACCUAUAAAAGCAUGAAGUUUUCGCAUUAACAUCCAUAGAAAUAUAAUUUUUGCCACUUAAACCCAAAAAAUGCAUAACUUUACUAGAAACUUAAGUAAUUAGCUAUAAAUAUGACUAAAACAUGCUAAAAGUAAAUAAUAAAACACACUAACAAUAUGUAAAAUAUGCACUUAUCAACUCUCCUAACCUAAACAAGCAAAAUGGACUUUAACCUAUUUUUUUUCUAAUUUAUCUAAAUGAGAUGCAAAUUUAAAUGAUAUGAUUUGCGCACAUAAGGAUAAGAGAAUAGGGGAGACAUAUCAUGCAAAAGAAAAAAAAUGCAUGAGAUGCAAUAAAUGUCAAACCAAAGCAUGAAUCUAUCGUAUCGAUGGCCUAAAGGGUCUAGCAUUGGACUAGCGCAUUUCUACAAGUUCUUACUAGCAUUGGACUAGGGAGAAAUCGGGGAAAAGAGCCACAGCUAGCAUUGGACUAGUGCGGUGACAUUAUGCAAUCAUUAUAAAUAAAUAAAGUGUAUAAAGUAUGACUAAAAUAGAUAAACACAAAGUGCACAUAGAUCACAUAGAACAUAGACAUGAUAUCUAAAUACAAAACCCUAGAAAAAAACAAGUAGACAUGCAAGCAUAUAAACACCCAAAUAGGUAAGCAAAUAAGACCUAACUAUUACAUUGAGAACCCUAACUACAAUCUAAAAGGGAAAUUUUAAAAAUAAUAGACCUAUCUAUUACAUUUAUCUAACUAAUUACAUUUUUGGUAAAAAAUAAAAUCUAUCGAUUGCAUCACCUAUCUAAAUACAUUUCUUGGCAAGAGGGUAUAACCUAUCUAUUACAAUUUGGCAUUUAAAUGCCUUCCAAACAAACAUCCAAAUUAAAUAAAAUAAAUAAAGGCUUAAAAUGAAUUAAAUGAAUAAAUAAAAGAAAAACCAUAUAAAAACAUGCAAUCACACAUGAAAAUACAUAGGAUCACAUAAAAGAAUUUAAAAAAUAAUAGAGAGUACCUUCCUUGAAAUAGUGGCUAAGUGUAAAGGAUGUAAAGUUGUCACUUUUCCCAAAAAAUUAACAAGCGUGUCAAUGCACCAAUUUAAUUUACAAUUUUCAAAGAGAAUAAGAACCAAAAAUUUAAUCUAAUAAUUCAACAUUCCAAACAAGACACAAAAAAUCAAGGAAUCAAGAGAAAUUUCAAAAAAAACUAAAAAUAAAAAUAAAAUAGAAAAAAUUUAGGGACUAAAAUGCAAAAAUUAAAAAGUUUUAGGGUAAAAAUAUAAUUUUCCAAAGAUUAAGGACCUAAGUGCAAUUUUUGCAAGAAGAGUCCCUACCGCCCAAAUUUUCCUCACAUAAUAUUAACUCCCAAAAUUGAUUUGAAAACCCCCCAUAUUAAAGUUAUUGCAUUAAUUUCCCAAAUUAUAAAAAAUAAAACGUAAAAUUCAACAAAAAUUACUUAAGCCCCGAUCUACUUUAGAACCAAAACAUAACUCAUCAAAAUCAUGUCUAAGAUGCAUAAGACAACCCAAGGCCUCAAAGGGAGAAAUUUGCACAUUAUCAUAAUUUUAGGGGUCAUACUGCAAUUAUACAAAAAUAUUGGGGUCAAAAUGUAAAUAUUUUCAUGAAUUGAAAAAUCAGCAAGUAAUAAACGGCUGAAUCAAAUGAAUUUCCAGAAAUUAAGAUCACGUAGAAAGUCACAAAUGUAUAUGAUGAAAUAAAUAACAAAAGAAGAAAGAAAAACAAGCUUUUGGUUUUAAUUACUUCAUGUGCCCGUUCACUAGUUUUGGGGCUUUUUUAUCAUAGUCCAAACAAGAAUUAAUCAACAAGCCAACACAAAAAACACGGAGGCCCAAGCAUAAGCCUAACAUGAAUAAAUUCUUGGCCCAAUUUUUUAAUUCACAAACGCAUCCAACUAAACACUCACAACCCUAAUGGAUCAAACAUAACAAAACAAAACAAAGUAAAAAGAGCAUAAAUAAAUAAAAAAACCAAAAAAAUAGAAAAAUUCCUGCCAAGUCAGCCAGAAUCUUGCCGGAACCCAUUUUUAUAAACUUUUGAGAUCGGAUCUUUUCAUAUACAUGAAGCCCAUGGUUUAUGGGCUCAACCAAACAUCAAACCAGGAUAAGCAUGUAAAAUGAAGAUCUAAGCUCCUUGAGCAUGAACAUCCAUGACCACAUUCAAAUCCCUUGCAUGAACAUCGAGCCAAAAAGGGAAAAGUCAUGGAAAUACCUAAGGAUGGUUUAGGAUCAGAUUAAAACCAAAAAAUACGAACGGAAGCACAAUUGAUAAAGCUUCAAACGUGAUUGUUCUAGUGGUUAAUUUCUUCAAGAUAUACCACUAGAUGUUCUUGUGGUUAAAAAACUAGCAUAGCUCUUGAUUUGUUGGUUGGAUUUACUUGGAAAUUUUCCAUUGAUAACCAAGGGCUAAUGAUUGAUGAAACCCUUAGGGAUUUGAGUGAAUUUUUGUUGGUUAAAUGGUUGUUCUGUUGGCAAAAUUCUUGAGGAAUUUUCGAAUGAGCUAGCCGAAUGAAUAGGGUUAAUUUUCAACCUUCAUUUUCGACAUUUUUGUGUUCUUUUAAACUAAAUUUCACUCAAGUGACUUGCUAUUAUGUUAAACUAUGAUUAUAUGUUGAAAUGGAGUUGAAAUCUAGGAAUUUUAACAGUUAAAAGUCAUUUUUAUUUCACUAUUUUUGGGCUAAGAACUAUCCAGGCAGCAAUGGUGAAAUCGAGACUGUUUUGCCCUUGAUUUUGUUUUUUCACACAUCAAAUUUUUGGGAAAACUAAUCUAGAUACAUGUCAUUUUCAUAACUCGAGCUUUCGUGUCGAGUUCAACUGAAUUUGAUUUAGUUUCGCGAAUUGUUGAGGCGAAACUUAUUAUCUUUCUUUACGUGUUUAUAGGAGUGAUUGAAGAUUGUGAUAUCGAUCCUAACUUGGAUUCGGAGCUUUGAUAUAUAGGUGAGUUUCCAUGCAUGUUAUCCGACUUGAAUUUGCAAAUGUGACAUAAAUGUAAACUUGAUGUUGUGACUAAGAUGAAUAUUGUUUUGAAUUGUUGAAGUGUUGUGAUGUCGCUUCGGUUGUUACCCCAUCGACGAUCAGUGAUUGAGUAUGCAUGUUAAUUCUUGGGAAUUCCUGAGUCCUAUAGGUAAGUCUGUUGAUUCGAACCAGUCAUGGGACUUGGUCGAGGAGAUUUGACGAGCCAUAGAAGAGUGUUUUAUAUUCGCUGGACUUAGUGUUUAGACUUGUCCCUUUUGAAGUGAAAACUAUGGUAUGCUUGAGCAAUACCCAUUUUAAGUCUUUUGGAUUUCGGGCCCGAUAAGGGAAGUCAAUGGAAGGAGAAUGAAGUAAGUGGAUUUCUACAUAAUGAUAAAACUUGAGAGUCGACGGAGUGUCGACUAUGUGAAAUAAGAUCAAAAUUCGUGGAAAUUGACUCCUGAGAGCCACCCGUAUCCUACCCCUUGAUAUUGUUAAUCGCUUUAUUUACUCGCUUUGAAUUGUGAACUUGAAGUGUAAUUUGAACUGCUCUAUAUGACUGUAUGUUUUUUGGAACUCACUGGGCGUUAGCUCAUUCUUUCAAAUUUGUUUUCCUUAACAGGAAUUGAGUACCCGAGUGAAGCCGCUGUCAAUUAGGGUGUAACCCUGUUUCUUUUGUACCUUGUUUUGGGUUGUUAAACAUUGAAUUCGAUAUUUUGGAAGCUUGUAAGAUGAACUUUGAUUGUAUCUUAAGUACGUUGGAUCGUAUUUUUAUUAGUCAGGUUGUAAGUUGAACUUAGUCAUGUUAUAAGCUGUGGAAUUAUUAUUUAAGUACUUUUGAAGUAUUUUAUUCGAUUGUAUGAGUGAGUCCUGGCGUGAGUUGGGUAGGCAGCUAACUGGACCCUUUGGUUCGCCCUAGGAGAGGCAAUGGUUUUAAACCCGAAACGGGGAGUGAAUAGGAAAACCUUCCGGUUCAUGGUUCGACUGUUUCAACCAGUUCAACCCCCGGUUCGAAGGUUUAAUAAUUUUUUAUUCAUUUUAGUAUUAAAAAUUUUGAAUAAAACUAAAAUAUUUAUUUUAGAAAAUAAAUAUUUAAUAAAAACCAGUUGACCCUCCCGAUUUUUACCGGUUCAACCGGGUCUUGACCGGUUUAAUUAAUUCUUUGGCUUUGUGAUUGAAUCGGACUAGAGGUGAUAAGUGACUAAUUUACGUAAUAAUUGUAUGAUAUUUUAUAUUAUUUUUAGUUACUUUAGUUAUAUUAUUGGAAGAAAAUGAAUUAUUUUGGCUAUAAUUGGUGAAAAAUACUUUUAAGAGAUUAAAUGAGCUUUUUAUCACUUUUUACUUGGAUUUUGUGUAUUUUGACAGUUUUGACACAUUUUCGUAUUUCGGCUAUAACUUGAGCUACAAUGAUCGGAUUGGGAUGAUUCUUGAACCCAUUUGAAGAUAAGAAAUAGAUCUACAACUUUGGUGAAGAUAUCUGAAUCCAGUUUGAAGGUUUUCUAGGUCAAAAACCCGAAUAACAGUAGCAAAUUUGUACUGGUCGAAGCUGAAACAGGGCAAUGAGCAGGCAAGGGGAAGGAAGAGAGAGACAUACGGGAGAACUUGGAGAGUGCAGAAAUGUAGCUCUUUCAUCUUCUGAGUGUUAGGUUAGCAUUAGUGUAGACUAGUAUAGUUCAUCCAUUCUUGAAUGUUAGCUAGGUUAGGAUGAAGAUGGAGAUGAAGAAGGAGAAGUUGAAACUCAAGUGACAUGGGUUAUCUCUUCUCCAACUCUUUAUCUUUUGUAUCAGAUUCUUAAGUUUAGUUAAUAUACAAGUUCUGGAUUUUGUGUUUAUUAUGUGUCUCUAAAGUUUAUGCCUUGGGUUUGGUUGAACUUUCUAUAAUUGUUGGUGUUUAUUAUUUGGUUAUUUGAUUGCUAUGAUUUGAGCAAGUUAUUUAGCACUUUGGCUCUUUAAAUCAUGAUUAAUCUGGUACCAUUGAUUGUGAUUAUCUAAGGUGUUGUUUCUGCAAUGAAAAUUGAGAUUUAACACUAGUUCAAGAAGUGCUAAACAUAGGAAGUACACUCACGAAAGUAGAGGUGCACUUAUAUGGUUUUUAGUGAUUCAUUUCAUGUAAUUUCAUUGAAGAAAUGAACUUGUAGCUAAUUUCAUAACCAUGAAAAUAGGUAUGGAUUAGUUAUGAGUAUAGUUGAUUCACUACGAAAGUAGGUUUCACAUGUUUAAGGAAAUUACACCAUAACUAGCCUAGAUGUAGUACUCAAUGAUCCAAAUAUAGCACUUGCAUGAGUAGUUAGGGAUACCACAACCUAAGGAGCAUUCAUUUGCUAUUUUGUAUAAUUUCAGUAGGUUAAAUUUGUUAUAAUUCAUUAAUAGUCUAAAUAAUAGAGAAGCUUUAGUAGUACCGGUAAUUGUUCACUCUUCCUUGUGGGAUCGACCCGAUAUAUACCCUAAACUACUAGUUGACCUAUAUACUUGUAGUGAACGGGUGUAAUUCGAUUUUUUAACUUGUACGUAUGUAAAAUACCCGUCAGGAGGCAUGGCCGGUUCGUGGUUUGACCGGCCGAACCGGCCGGUCCAGUCUGGUUUUUAAAACAUUGAGGGGAGGAGAAGGUGGGCUGUCACAUUUUUAGCAACAAGUAAUUCUUGUUCUUUUUUUCACUUCCUUAUUUAUAGCAUAGUUUCUUAUUUAUAGUCAAUUUCAAAAAAAUCUAUUAACGAGCCACCUUUUAUAAAUUUCUAUUAAUCGUACAUUCUUUAUUUUUUUUGUCCAUCAAUCAUAUCUUUCCUUUUCUAAUCAUCUUCAAUCAUGUUCUGUCAUUUUUUUUCCUAUUCUAUACUUCCUUUUUUUUUUUUUUUUUUUUUUUUAAAAGGGGAAACCCCUGAUAUUUUAUUUAUACUAACGGAUAAAUCCAAGAAGGUGGAAAAAUCCCCAACCUUCAAUACAUGCUGAAUAACUAGGAGCUAUACCUACACAGGGAACUUGCGAAUGUAUGGAAAACCUAUCGCAUCCAAAUUUAUCAGCGACCGAACUCUACUUGGUAGCUGGUGAACAGAUUGAAAAGUAACAUAUGGGCUCUCCCGAGAUAACUCUGCUAAGCUGUCUGCCACGGCAUUCGCCUCACGAUGAAUAUGUGUAAUAGACCCCUUCACCUUGCCCAGUAACAAGCGAAGUUGACUUAAGACGCUACACAACGGCCACUUACCAACCGAUCGAUUCUGGACCAACCUUACCAACACUAAGGAAUCCACCUCUACCAAAAUCUCUGACAACCCUGCCCCCGUACACCACUGCAGCCCAGCACACAAUGCCAAGCCCUCCGCAUGGACCACUUCAUAUUCCCCAAAUUCCUUAUAAAAAGCACCAAUCAUUUUCCCUUCAGAAUAACGUACCACCCCACCACCUUUAGCUACACCAUUGAUCACACUUGCAUCUGUGUUAAGUUUGUACGACCCUCUAGGCGGCUUCAUCCAUGAUAUAGCCUUCAGACAGAAGGAUUUGGCUGGCUUGAGCCGGAAAAACCGUGCAAAAUACGUAUCCAUAUCCCCCUCCAACUGCGCUUUGUUUAACAUACAUGCUGCCCCCUUAGCAACCAACCACCCAUUGGCUUCGAAGAUAACUUGGGAAUGGACAGGGUGAAGAUUUUCAAACCGGGCAUCAUUUCUACUACGCCAUAGAAACCAUAACACCACUACCGGUAUUACACACCGAACAUGAUCCAAUCGGCCAUUGCUAGAUGAUUGAAACCACACCACAAGCAGUGAAGAAACACAUGAGAAUGAACGCCACUGAAUUCCGCAAGCCAGAAAGAAAUGCUGCCAAACAGCACUGGCUACCCUGCCAUGUAAGAAAAUAUGAUUCAAGGAUUCUACCGCAUUACCACAGCAAUCACACUUAGAAACCAAGGCCAUUCCUCUAGACCGGAGCUUAUCAUCCAGAGGGAGAAAAUCAGACAACACCCUCCAAGCUAAAUACGACAUUUUUAACGGAAGUAACGGACACCAAAUUCCACGGCAAACCAAAGACGUGUUGCGCCGCUGCCGAACUAGUUCCCAGGCUGACGACACAGAAAAUGCACCAUCAGCGGAAGGAGCCCAAAUUAACUCGUCCUUAAGCUUCGGAUCUACAAGUGUUUGGGAAAUAAUAUUAACAAUAGAUCGUGGAAGAACCUGGAGGAGACGAUCAGUAUUCCACCCCGUAGAGGUGUAAAACUCAGCUACCAAAAAGUGAGGAGGCGAACCAGAAACCUGGCUGCUAAGUGGUUCAUUGAAAAGCCAUCGAUCAUACCACAAAUCGAUGAAGCCUUCACCGAGCCGCCAACGAAUGUUAUCUUCAGUGAUCGCCCGCACCAAACAGACCCUCUUCCAUGUUGCCGACCCCACAGCUGCCGAAGCCGAACCUGGAUGUUGCUCGCCAAUGUACUUACGGUGCAUAAAUCUGGCCCAAGGAGAGCUCUUUUGACGUAUUGUCCACCAUAGUUUCAUUGCAAAAGCCCUCUCCAAAUCCAAAAGAGACCGAAACCCCAAUCCCCCUUCUUCCACUGGAAAGCAGACUUUUUCCCAAGAGGACCAAUGAAUCCUCCUACCAUCCUUGCCAUCCCACAGAAAGGCGUUAAACAGCUUGCCCAAUCUAAUAAAGACCCCCUUAGGUGGUUUAGUAACCUGCAGGAGGUAAAGAGGCAUUGAACUCAACACAUGACGAAUCAAUAUGAGUUUCCCCCCAGCAGACAGAAACCGGGAACUCCAAUGAUGAAGCUUUGCUCUCACGGAGGCAAUUACUCCAUCAAACAAGACAGUUUUGCUACGGCCAAGAGAAAGCGGGACUCCCAAGUAUUUGACAGGCCAAGGCUGCCCUUGAAACCCCGUUUCUUGCUGAAUUAAUUGGAUAACCUCCGAAGAGAGCUUCGACGAACACAGAAAGCGACUCUUAGAGAGAUUAAUUUUUUGGCCAGAGAGAGCUUGAUAGUCGUGUAGAAAGGACGAUACCGCCUGUAAGCAUUCAGUCGAUGCCCGGGUGAAAAUAAUCACGUCAUCGGCAAACGCAAGAAAUGGGACCAUCCCUCCCUUAGUCAAAAAUCUAAACGCUGGAUUGUUAGAAAACAGCCGUUGAAGACCCCUUCCAAGAAAUUCCGAGACAAAAAGGAAGAGAGUGGACGAUAACGGAUCCCCCUGGCGAACCCCUCUAGUCGACUUGAAAAAGCCGGUGAGUUCUCCAUUAACCAGGACAGAAAACCAGACGUUGGAUACCAACCGAAAAACCAGAUCCACUACCCCUUCUUUAAAACCAAAUUCUCGCAGCAUAUAUAACAAAAACCCCCAGUCCACACUGUCAUACGCCUUCUCCAUAUCCAACUUCAAGAUUACAUUAGGGUGACGCAGCUUUUUGUCCAAAUCCAGAAUCAAUUCCUGAGCAAGCAAAACAUUAUCUUGUAUUCCCCUGCCCGGAAUAAAACCAGUCUGAAACUCUAAAAUCAACCUAGGAAGGAGCUGGUUGAUACGGGUGGACAAAACCUUAGAAAUGAUCUUGGCACUAACAUUAGCUAAACUUAUUGGUCGGAAAUCUUUCCACUCACAAGCGCCUUCCCUCUUGGGGAGUAAAAUGAUCGUCGUACUGGAAAAUCCGCGUGGCAUUGUGGCACCAGCAAAAAAAUCCUGCACCCCGUCCAUGAAGUCAUCUCUUAUACACUCCCAACAACUUUGAUAAAAACCCCCGCCAAACCCAUCAGGCCCCGCAGCGCUCUGAGGAUCCAUUGAGCACACCACAGUAUAAACCUCAUCCACCGAUGGAGAUUUCAGCAGCAUGUCAUUCUCUUCUGGCGUAAGCUUAGGCAGCUCAAGCGAAGGCCUGCUCCCUGAACGAACAUCGCGGUCUGCUGUGAACAAAGAGGAGAAAAAAUCAGACGCUGACAGUUUAAUAUCCUCGAUAUUAUCAAGCCAACUGUCCCCGGGGCCCCUAAUUCGUGCAAUAAAAUUAGGGCUGCGUUUCUGCUUAACCGUUGCAUGGAAAAAAGAAGUAUUCGCGUCGCCCUCUUUGAUCCAUUUGAUUGCUGCCUUCUGUCUCCAGAAGUCACAUUCUAAGGCUAGCUCCCGAGAAUGGAGUGCCCGCGCCUCAUGUACUGCCGACCUAGACAACACGUCCCUAUUUUGAUCAUACAACAAUUCCUUGGCCAAUAGAUUAUCCGCUGCCACUUUGACCCGUUGAGAGACAUUCCCAAAAACAUCCACAUUCCAUCCAGCUAAGACUCGCUUAACCACCUUCAACUUAUUAAAAAAUUUCUGCAUUCCCAUUCCAGGAACAGGUUGAGCCCAAGCAGACUUAACUGUUUGUUGAAAAGUAGGAUGACUCCGCCAAACAUUAAGAAAGCGAAAGGACGACCGCCGCCUUGCCAUGCUGCCUCCCUUAACCAGCAACGGACAGUGAUCAGAUCGCCCUCGCUGAAGAUGAGCAACUCGAGUCAGCUCAAUAGAAGACAGCCAACCAGCAUUAACAACCGCUCGAUCAAUCCGCUGCCACAUACGCCCAUUAGUCCAUGUGUAGGCAGACCCAUCAAACGGUACCGGAAAUAGUCCACUCCGAUUUAAUGCAGAGUUAAAUUCUGCCAGGUCACGAAUAUUCGGGGCUGAACCUCCAAUCCUUUCUUCAACAGAAGAAAUAACAUUGUAAUCCCCUACGGCCAUCCAUGGGAGUGUAACAGACGUUGAAAAAUGCUCCAGAGCCUCCCAUAACUGUCGCCUACCAAUUCUGUUACACCGCGCGUAAACAGCAGAAAUAAAAAUGGAAGAACCAGAGGGGAAAGACACAUGUAUGUGGACCACCUGAUCCGCAGCUUCUACAAAAGAAUAUCGCGCAUCUGAACACCAGAAAAUCCAAAUUUUGUUGUGCAAGAAGGACUGCGCAAAAUCAAAACCCAAGAACAGCUGCACACUAUCCAAAUGGGAGACAUUAGCUAAUGGCUCCAAUAGGAUCAGUAAACGAAUAUCGUUUGAUCUACAAGCGCUACGAAUGUGCCUCAAUGACUCCUUAUUCGCAGCACCCCGAAUGUUCCACACUAUAAACUUAAUCGGAUCUAACAUUAUGGGACCGAAGGUUAUAAGGAGCAGCUGAAGGCUUACCGUCUCUUUUUGUAGUCUGCCUACCACGAGUCUUGUGACCUUGAACCAAAUUCUGCAGCAAUUGUGUGUCAGUAUCAUCCAGAAGAGCUCCAGGGACACCCGGGUCGUCGCUUAACUUAGAUGCUGCAAUUCUGCUGACCAGCCGAUCCCUAAAAUUUUUUAACUCAUCCAAAGAGAUACCUUUCAACCCUAACUGUCCCUCAGAGUUAUAGCGCACUAGACGAGCAUGACCUUCAUACCGUCGAGGAGAAAGGGAACAAGCCCGCUCGCGCUGCAGCAUUGAAGGCACAGAUUUAGUCAGCAAAAGAUCAUCUCGACCGAAAGAAGGAAUUGUGGCGGAUAAAGCUUUAACCGGAGAAGAAGAAUUCGGGGGAUAACAAGUCAGUACUGAGAGAUCAUUCUGUGUAGUCGCAGCACCCCCCCGAUAUGAAUCAGGGAGAACGGGAUCCUGAGCAUGAACAUUAGUCUGUGUAGGGUUACCCCUAGCAGGGGUAGACGAUGAUGAUGGAAUAACAGUAAUAGAGACAUCUGCAGUGGGAAUACUGCUUUCCUGCACUUGUACCCUUGGGGCUGUCACGACCCCCGAAUCCACCACAGGAGGAGAUUCUUCGACAGCCGGUCCUCUUUUCGGUUGAAAGACUUGCCUGCCUUGAGACGGAACCGGUGGUCUAGCGCGUCGCACAGGCCGCAAUUCCGGAUGCUUCUGAUGACAGGUACUUUCGACAUGACCAAUGGACGAGCAAAAACCGCAGUACGAAGGAUAGUCUUCAUACUCAAUCUUCUGCCAAAAACCCCACUGAUCAUCCCCUAUCCAAAUCCUGGAUCUUGGAGAAUUCAAUACAUCAACUUCCAACAAUAUUCGCGCUACAGACGGACGCUUCAGCGCUGCCGUAGCUUCAUCCACCUUUAAUGGUCGGCCCAGUAAGUUACCCAGCUUAAGCAGAAACUGCUUUUCAAAAAACGGCAAUGGAAGACCUGGGAAAUUGACCCAAACUGGUGCGAUGGACGACUCCGCUCCCGGCUUAAAAUCGAUUGUCCAUUUCGACAGAGACAUAUGGAAUUUGCCGAUGUACCAAGACUUUCGACACCAGAGUCUGGUGUAAUCCUCCUCCACGGAAGGUCGUAAGAGAAUAUGCUUGGAAUCUAAUAACCCUAUCGGACACUCACCCUUCAGCCCCAAAGAAACAACAAAUUUGCGAAUAGUCUCCAUGGAAGGCCGACCAACGGCAAACCUGCCAACCAGUGCAUUAGAAUAAGGUGCCGCUAUCUGUAACAUAUCUUGACGGGAGAUCACCAACGAAGGCUCCCCCUUGUAAGUACUGAGAUGGCCAAUGCCAGAGGACGAAGAAGACGGAGAUUGAGCCAGAACGGAGGCAAACGUCUUCGAAGGACGACCAAGAAGCGGCGCCUCCCCAUGUUGGGGAGCCGCCAUGAAACCCUACUAACCUUGCAAAGCCCGAAAAAAAUGGUGAGGAAGCCCGAUUCUAGAGAGAAAGCCCGAUUCUAGAGAGGAAGCCCGAUGUUCCUUUCUUCCCGUCUAUACUUCCUUAUUUAUUGUAAAUUUUAAUUUAUUAAUUUUCUUCUUUAUAUAUAGUUACAUCGUUUAUUUAUUGCCAUUACUAAAAUAUAAUUACAUCGUCUAUAUGUAGUUACAUUGUUUAUUUAUUUCCAUUGCUAAAAUAUGAACAAACUUUUAUUUUUUAAUCAUUCUAUACUUUAUAAAUUUCAAUCUAUUAAUUCCUUGCUUUAUAUAUGUUUACAUUGAUUAUAUCUUUCUUGAUUUUUUAGUCAGUGAACGCAUAAUUUUUCUUUUUUUAAUUUUCUUCAAUUAUGUUUACUCUAUCUCUAGUAUUAUACAUCGUCUAUAUAUAGUUACAUUGUUUAUUUAUUUCCAUUGCUAAAAUAUGAACAAACUUUUAUUUUUUAAUCAUUCUAUACUUUAUAAAUUUCAAUCUAUUAAUUCCCUGCUUUAUAUAUGUUUACAUUGAUUAUAUCUUUCUUGAUUUUUUAGUCAGUGAACGCAUAAUUUUUCUUUUUUUAAUUUUCUUCAAUUAUGUUUACUCUAUCUCUAGUAUUAUACUUUAUUAUUUAUUUCAAAAGUUUUGACAUUUUUCAUUUUUUAAUGAAUCUGUAUUACACAAUUUUAGCAUAUUAUGCAUACAAGUCCAUUUAAAUUUUUGAAAACUCCAUUUAAAUUUAAUAAAUAGUCAUUCUUUGCUAAAAUAUUCAAUUAAUUUUUAUACUCUCUUCAUUCAAAUCCAAUUUAGGCCAAAGUAGUUUUUUUAUAACAUUGAGUUGUAAAAGUUCUCCCAAACUACUUUUUUUAGUUUUAAAUAAUUUGAGCAAAUAAUAAGUUCAUCAUCUCUUUAGUUUACAUUUAAAAUUCUUUUUAGUCAUAAGAGAAUCAAAUGAUUAAUUGCACUUAUUUCCUAACAUAUCUCUUUCACUCAUACAUUGACUUGCCACCAUUAAUUAGAGUAAACAUAAUUGAAUUACGGGAUAAGAUUUUUUUUUUUUAGACAACUUCUUUUUUUUUAAAAAAUAAAAAUUUUAUUGCUGCAACCAACAAACAUACCCAGAUCGGGUCCAACCCAUUUCCAGGAGUACAAAUUCAAAACCCUGACCAAACCCACCACCCCCUACCGCCGGCACCUACGAAAGCUUGGGAACCCGUACACGUCCAAGGUAAUGUACCCCCUCACCAACCUCGGUAAAGCACUAUAAGUCUCAUAAAUGAUAGUAUGCCCAUCCUCCACUCCAGCGUUAGACAACCUGUCCGCCGGCUUGUUUGCCUCCCGAUAGCAAUGAGACACGGCUUCAAAAUACCGUCCAUAUUGCUGCAGCUCUCGUAGCUCCUUCUGCAAUCGCCAAGGACAUCUAACCUUCUCCUGAAUAAUCCAGACCAACACCAUUGAGUCAGACUCCAGAUGCAACCUAACUAAACCACGGGAUACACCUAAUCGAACACCAAAGAGAAGCGCUUUGAGUUCCGCUUGAAGGCUCGUAGCCUCCCCAAAAGAGCACGAGAAGCCAAGCAGGAACCUCCCCUCAGAAUCCCUGAACAAACCCCCACCGCCACUCCUCCCCGGAUUACCUCUUGAGCAACCAUCGGCAUUCAGUUUCACUACCGUCUGAGUCGGACCUUCCCAACGAAACUCCCGUUUAAUAACCUUGCAUCGCAGCCUAAAUAUCAUUUCAAAAAAAUCAAUUUGUGAACUACAAGGCAGAGGUAUCUCUCGAAACUGGAGACAGACGCAUUCUCUCAGCUCCAAGAAAAUCCGAUCACAAACAUGCACUACCGAGUCUAGCUUUCCCUCAAAGAUCCACAUAUUCCGCAUCUUCCAUAAAUUCCAACAAAUUAACGAUGGCAAUAUGCGGAGAACGAAACCAAGGUAUGGAUUAAUAUUAGGCUUAACCCACCAACUCAUCACUUUAUGUCUAAUCGUGAGAUAAGAUUCACUUGGAACUAAUUAUUAAGUUGUUAUACAACUAAUUAUUAAGUUAUUGUAAAUUAACCAUUAUUAAUAUGUUUAAUUUUAAUGUUUGCCUUACAAUAAAUACAUCAAAUUUUAUAAAAUAGCAUUUUAAGCUCUUUUAUAAUAAAAAAUAAAAAUUAUAGAACAUAAAAUAGUGCCCGUGCAAAUGCAUGAAAAAGAAACUAAUUGCUAAAUAAAAUUUGAAUAAUGUGGUCAUAUGAAAAGUUUCCAACCUAAAUGCAAUUAGGAGUAUCAGGUUUGUAAUGCAAGAUUAAGAAAAGCCUCGUGUUUAAAAAUAAUUGAUUCAAGGAUAUGACAUUGUGAGUGCCAAAAAGAUAUUAAUAAUGGUUUUGAGUUGGAAACCUCAACUUUAAUUCAUAAAGAAUGGAAAAAUGCAUAAAUGCGAACAAAAUGGUGAUACAAUCCACAUUUUGUAACCCAAAAAAGUAUUCACCAAGAAGUUCUGGCAGAAGAUUUUGAUAAAUAGCUCAAUGAACCAAAAUUAUCCCUUAGUCUAGCUAUAACAAGCAACUUGCACAUAAUGAGAAAGAAAAAACUAAACUUACAUAAGAGUAAAAUACUGAAACAUGAUUCUGAUGUCAUUGGGUUGAAACAUAUGUUUGCAGCUUUUAUAUUCUAACUGUUAAUGUCCAAUUCUAUCUAAUUAUUAUGCCUAGUAUGAUAAAACUAGCACAUGGGACAUUGUAGUGCUGAAUGUAAUUCAAACACGAGAUGUACCAUAGCACUUUUUCAUUUGGUUUUUUUAAUGGCACUAUAAGUAAUUCAAACCUACGGUGAAACUCGAGAAUGACAGAUAUGAUAAGUUAGGAAAAUUAGAUUUGCAAAUAAUGGAAAAAAAAGCACCUAAAUAUUUCAAAGUACUUUACACAUGGCAAUGAAAAUUUUCUGCCAUAAAAAAAGUUUACAAUCCAAAAACGUAGUUAAGUUAUUUAUUCAACGUGUUCAAAAUGCUAAUAUAUGCCACAAAAGGAAAAAAAAUUGCAUUCCAUACGAGAAAUUAUACAUAUUUCAUUGUGGAAUUAAGAAAAAAAAAAGAGUAGAAAAGAACUUGAAACUCAAACAUAUAAAUGCAUUCAUAGAGCUCAAACUGGAUGGAUAACAACGAUAAAGUAUGAUGACUUAAAAACAAUUCUGCCGACAAGUAAAUGACAUACAAAAUAGUUUAUUCUCAAUUAAUUUUUUAUGAUCUCUAUUUGCGAAUAGCUUUUGGCUUUAGAUUCUCCUUAGUGCUUUUAGUUGGAGAUAUAAUGUUAUUCAUGACUUACCAAAUCACAAGACUAUUCCUCCAAAGUUGCAUUUAAUGUCAUUCCACAUAUUUAGGAUCUAAAUGCAAAGAGAUUACUUUAAACUCAUUUUCGAUGAUCUGGACUAUAGGUUAAACAAAAUUUUUUCAGUCACCGGAAAAUGCACUGUGGGAGUAAUAGAUAUGAAUUAAAUGCCUUUUUUCAUGUAGGUAAUAAAAAUCGGUGCAAAAUGCUUCAAGAAAAGAUGUAACAAUCCUUUAUUUGGAUAGCUAAAUGACUAUUCUUAAAAGUUUAAAGAGCAAUUUUCUACAAUUAAUGGUAAUAUAAUUUGUAAUCGUAUUUGUGAGAGGAAAAUUUGAAGCUUGUGCUUUUGUUGUAUUAUAAAUUUAAUCACAACUUCUAACCAAAUUUAUUUUAACAACACAAAUAAAAAUCGUACUUGGUUAAAUAUUGAAUUCCGCUAUAUAAGAUUUUUGUAAUACUAACAAUAGUUGUUCUUGUAAUGACAACUAACAAUGGAAUAUAUUAUUUUGUUCGCUAAAUAAUAUUAGCUGAUUAUAUACGUGCAUAGCACAUGAUUUUUUCUAGUAAUUUGAAGUGUUCUAGAGAUACCAUUAGGAAUAAAGUUUACGAAAUGUGGCAUGAGCAGGUGAGCUUUGUCCGAUCUUUUAGGUUGGUAUAGUUCUUAUUAUUGGUAAACCCUAUUAAUUCUUUUUAAACAAACUUACUGCUUCAUUAGAUAAAAACUACGAUACAUUUGGCAAAUUCUACUAGUUUCCCAUUUAAAUGAGAUUCACAAUCUGGAAAAUCAUUUUUAUUUUUUUUUAUAAUCUCCCCGCAAUUUACAAUGAGUUCAGAGUGCUACCUUUGGUCAAUUUAGAAGAAUUUCCAUAAAGUCAUAAAAUAUCACAUAAGCAUUUUCAGAAGUAAUGUGACAAUCUUUUUAAAACGGCAUUGUGUGUCACUUGUCACCCGUUUCGAUGUUCCAUUGCCAUUGGAUGCAUUUCUAAGGCCUCGCUUGAAUAGUUAAAUUAAUUUAUGUUUCUUUUUUCUCAAGCCCUAAAUAUAAAUUUAAAAUAACCUAAUCAACAAUAUAAAGCAAACAAUUUAGUAGAGUGAAAUGAAAAGAACUCUGAAACACAUAAUGUAGUCAUAAUCGGCGUUUUACAACGCCUUUUUUUAUUUUUUCAAUUUUUUUUCUUUUUUUUGGGUUUUUUGUUUUGACUUUGAUGUACCCCUAACUAUUACACAUAGAUAAAAAGGAAAGAGAGAAAUUUACUACAUAAGACCCUAUGUAGCACGAAAAAACAAAGUAGACCCUGCACUGAAAACAUUAGCAGACACAACUACUGAUAAUCAUAGACUGAAUGGACACCAUUUUAUUUUGUUUUUCCUUUUUUUCAAUUUUUUUUUCUUUUAUUGCGGUACCAAACGACUGAAGGAUGAUGGUAAUGAGUGCAUCCACCCUAAUUAGGGCGAAUUUCGAUGCCCUUGAUAAUAAUGCCAGACUUCCAGAUUGUAUCACUGGUUUGAAAAAUCCUAGCUUCUACCGUGGAACUUCUUCCGCGGUUGUUGACGAAGUCACCCAAGUUCAAUUCCUUCCAUCCAUCACUACGGGUUUGAGGAUAUAUGCCCGGAUCCUUCGAAUCUUGUGACUUGUCAAUGAACACACUAUAGCCUUCGUCAUCAGUUCCCUUAGCCUUUUCUUCAGUAAAUCUAACCGAUGCAGUUGCUUUUUCAAGUCCCUUUGGCUUGGCAUUAAGUUUGAACACGAGAUAUGUCAAAUAGGAACUGCCCCUUGGGAGGUCCCUAGCAGGCACACUGGUUCGAAUGUCAAACCAGCAAACUUCAACAAGCUCGGCAACCUCGAAGCUGUACAAAGGCAUUAAAAUCAGUUUAGGAUAAUCUUCGAAAGUCAUCAACUAACUAAAGGGAGAAAGUGAGAUAAUAAUAUAAAUGCAAUAGGACUAUAUACAGGACGGGUAUGUGUGAAGUAAGUUCAGGAGGUUUACCCAGAAGGUACAUCAGUGUACCACUUCCAAUAGCGUGUAUCAUUACCGUGAUAAAUCACUAGAUCCCUCGCGUUGAUGGUGUAAGCCUGUGAUGGAAAAUUGAGCAUCGACAAGUUAAUUAAUCUUUAAAGUCAAAAUAACAAAAGACUGAUGAGUAGUUCUCGCAUUGAUACAAACUAAUAACGACUGUUAUAGCUAGUUAUAUACCAUGUUGAAUAGAUGCAGCUCUGGAGUAGUGUUGGAAGGACUGUACGUUUUGUGGAAUGAGGGAUUGAAGAUUGCGGGAAUGGAUAUUUAUAGGCCUAUCUGAUUAACUGACGUUUGCAGAUAUUUCCAAUCUUACCUCAUCAGAGAUGUGUAAAAACGUGUUUCGUGCUGGUGUGAAGGUCAGAUGCUGAUGUGAAUGAGGGUGGCCUUUCACAAAACCACAAAUAUGAGUAUAUGACCAAGUACUAAGCUAUACGCUCCGCCACUUGAAAGUGUAUCCAACCAACCUUAGUGUCAACAGUCAUAUAUCUUUAGCAUAGUCAGCUGUAUCAAUAUACACUAUUCUUUUCCUAAUGAAUUCACCUUUCUCUUUGUAGCGCUGAAUACAUUUGGCUAAUUCUCGUUUUGAUAUUUCACCUGAUUAUAAAUUAUGAUUUUAAAUAAUGUGUUUUUCUUGUGUUCUAGUUUUCUUUUUUGUCUAGAUCUUGAAUUUUUCACAAUCGGAAAAAGCUACGAUCUUGAAUCUAUCAAAGAUCAAACAGCUCUAUCCGAAUCCAAUUAUUCUCUGCCAUCUCUUUCUACGGUCAAUUUUUGUAAAAACCAUAGCGAAUGCUUAUGGGAAAGUCUUCUUUGCAUGUCUGAGGAUUGGGUUAAUUACAUCUACCUCCCCUGAGAUUUGGGCAAACUAUGAAUUAGUCCCUAACAUUUGGCCAAAUUACAAAACAGACCUUCAAACUCACGAAUCUAUAACAGCUACCCCCUUGUCGUUAGUCAGAAGACGUUUGACCAUUCAUUUGUAUGACCUCAACAAAUGGUAUGUAGUGAAGGUAACAAAGUACCCACUAUUAAAACUCAUCUUUUCUUUUGUUCUUUUAUUUUUUGUCUUCUACUGCCUUUGUAUUGUCGCCGGAAAAAAAAAUUUCAACUAUAACAGGGGAAGCACAAAUGGUCGCCGGCAACCAUGGCAGCCUGCCUCCACCACUUUCAAUAACUAAGGUUAGUGAUGUUAUCCGUCUAACUUGUAUUUUGUCUAGAAAUCUAUUUUCAUCAUGAAAAUUGGCAAAAAUUGAUCAAAGAACAACCACAUAGAAUGAAAACCGUGGUUGUUCCUACUCUUCAUCUUACUGAAUAACAAUUAAAAAUUACAAAAUUCAUACCAAAAUGAUCAUGAGAAGAAUAUGGGUAUUAGAAAAAAAAAAUCAUUGAAUAGUUACACCAAUUUCUAUUUAUCAUCUUAAACUCAAACCUUAGGAAAAAUCUAAUUAACAAGUUUUAUGCUCUUCAAAACUUUUCUCGAGAACUUGAAUUUUAAGGCAUCUAAAUCUUUCACGUUAUGAUUUGGUAGAGGAAUCAAAGAUGGGAAGAUGAUAUCAAUUGAGAGGACUUGGGUCAUAGGAAAUUUGAUUUGGGUUGUGGACGAAGAUAGAGGAGAACUAAGGAAGCAAAGAGGAAAAAGGAACACCAGUGGAUGGAAAGGACUAAUUGGAGAGCACAGUUCAGGGAUGAGGAGAGGAGACAUGUGGAAAAGGAAGAGGAGGAUAGUGGUAAAGGAUUUUGGCAGGGAAAAAUCUAAUUAACAAGUUUUAUGCUCUUCAAAACUUUUCUUGAGAACUUGAAUUUUAAGGCAUCUAAAUCUUUCACGUUAUGAUUUGGUAGAGGAAUCAAAGAUGGGAAGAUGAUAUCAAUUGAGAGGACUUGGGUCAUAGGAAAUUUGAUUUGGGUUGUGGACAAAGAUAGAGGAGAACUAAGGAAGCAAAGAGGAAAAAGGAACACCAGUGGAUGGAAAGGACUAAUUGGAGAGCACAGUUCAGGGAUGAGGAGAGGAGACAUGUGGAAAAGGAGGAGGAGGAUGGUGGUAAAAGGAUUCUGGCAGAUUUGGGUUUUCUUUUCAUUUUUCUUUGUGAGUACAAAUUGAUAACUAAACUAGCAUUGUGUAUUGGUUUUCUCCUAAAUUUUUUUCUUUAUAUUUUACUUUUUCUAAUUUUUUAUUGUUUUCUUUGUUCAAAUUUUUUACUCCUAUUUUUUAUUUUCUUUUAUUUUUUAAAUCAUUUUUAACCCUUUAAUAACGAGGGCAUUCAUAUCAUUUUAUUACUACUGUUAGUUGGAUUCUAACGCUAUUAAUGAUAAGGAAGUUAUUGUAAUUUGGUCUAACCUCGGGGAUUGAUGUACAGUUUGGACAAACCUCAAGGGAUGUAAAUGUAAUUAACCCCUAAAGAUUAGAUGAUAAAAUGAAAAUGGUGGAGCUGUUAAAGGGCACAAUUGGUAAUGUAAAAGAAGUGAACAAAUUAAAUCAUGAAGGAUAGAGCUUGCAUCGUAGGAAAAACAUGGGAUUUGUACCAUGGAAACUAUAACAGUUCGAUUUUUUUUCUCCCACAGUUGUUCAAAAAAUUUAGCAUAAUUUGUAUGAUUGAAGAAAACAAAAGAUUUAAAGAGGCAAACAAAGAAAAGGAUUGAAGAUUGCCAAGGAAAAGGAAUUAUUUGAAGAGUCUUAACGAUACCAUUAAGGAUAAAUUUAAGGAUACCGAGCAGGUGUAAUCGUGUUUUGUCCAAUUUUAUUUGUACGGUAUAAAUCAUACAAAAUUUAAUGUAAACUUACAUGACUUUCGUGUAGUUAUUGGUGCCGUUGAUGUAUGUAGAUUAGCUCUAUAGCACAUACAUGAAAUCUUGUAAUAAAUAUACAAAAUAGAGUCUUAUAACAAAUAUACAAAAUCUUGUAAGAAUUACGCUAACGGGAUAAAAUUGAAUAAAGCUUAACUAUACUUGUACCCUUGCAAAAUUUUUAUGUUGUGUGAACGCACUUGGUUGGUUUGACCUGCUGGCAAAUACCUAAAUGAACUCUUGUCCAAGAAAAACCUUUCCGACGCCUCUAGUUGUUACUAGAUACUACAUUAUAGACUCAUCACUUGCGGAAAAGUUGGGAGGAAUUUUUUUUUUUGGUCAAGGUCAAGACUUAACAAAAGGCCUUUAUGGGAUAGAAGAAUCAUUUUACGUCCAAAACGGGACACAUAAAAGUCUAUCAAGACCAAGACUUAUAAAAAAGACGUACACUAUACUGUACACUUACAAUACAUAUUUUAAAAAUAAAUUAAUUAGUUAAAUACUUGCUAAAUCAAGCAAUUUUGUCAAGACCAACAUUGUAAACAGCUGUAGACUAGUAGUAAUAUGAACAUCAAACUUAAAAGUUUUGAAAUUUCACAAGAUGCGACAAGUGAAAAUUGUGCAAAGUGACAUGAAAGCAAGAUUCUAGAUCAAAAUAGUUGUUACUUAAUUUAAAUUCGCAGAUUCAUUCAUCCAAACAAAAAUUUUCACAGAUUCAAAUUGAAAAUCUGAAUGAUAAAAAGACAAUAACAUAAAUUAGCCAAAAUCACUAGCGCAAAUUCCACUGUUCAUUUAAAAAAACUUACUAUUAUAAUUGCAAAGUUCACCUUGCCUUUCCUAGUUGUUACCACUUUUUUGGUAAAUCAUAUUAAUUUUUUGAACAAACUUUCUACUUCAUUAGCUAAGCACUGCAAUUCAGUUUGGUAAACCCUACUACUUUUCCAACAAAUGAGAUUCAAAAUUUGGAAACUAAAUUUUAUUUUUUUAUCAUCUCCGAACAAUUUAGUAUUAGUUCAUACAAAUUUUGGUCAAUUUCAGAGAAUGGUCAUAAAUUGAUAGAAAUUCAAACAGGUAUUUCUAGGAAGUAAUGUUACAGUUUCUUUUAAAAUAGGAUUAUAUAUCAUUUGGUAGCUAACGUGAUGUCCCGUUGACAUUCGAUGCACUUCUACGGCCUUUCUUAGGUAUUGCAAUUAAUUAGGGUUGGCACUUGAAACCUAAAAGAGCCUAAUCAACAAGGUUGAAAACAAACAAUUCGUUAAAAUGAGAACAAAAAGCUCCAAACCACACAACGCGCAGAUGUUACUUUGGAGUUUUGGAGGGACUAUUUCAUUGAAAGAGGAUUGAAGAUUGAGGAAAUGGAUAAUUAAGUGGCCUUUGUGGAUAUUUCCACAGUGGCCUCAUCAUGGACAUCAAAAACGUGUUCCAUGUUGGUCCUUCUCAUUCUUUUACACGUACUAAGAUAAACGUAAUCCUUGGCAAAAUUCACACCGUCGUUAGUUUAUCCUUCUAGUUGAAGGGCACAAAAUGUACCAAUCAUAGUAGUAGCUCCGACAAUGACAUUAGGUAACAUCAAUUGCUCAAUAUCCGUGAAUGCAAUGUUAAGUUAAAACUUAGAUUUUAUUUUUUUUUUGUCAAAUAAAACUUAGAGUUUAGUUAUGACUACACUGAACUGCUAAACCAUCAUCAGGUCACAACGUUGCCACUCCAAUUAUACCCAAAAGAUCAUCAUGGUAACUUGCAAUCAAUUUGAAUCACACACCAUUCUCGAUAUAACUAAAUCAUGGAAUAUUUUGAACCAUAAUUCACACUUCUAGAUCCUAAACAUUGAUAAAUUACAAGUAUGAUAGGCUUAUUUGUUACCUACACUUGCGACUAUUUUUAGGAGAAUAAGAAAUUCCAUAGGCCCAUUGAUCAAGGAAGUUCGUUUAAAUAUAUCACCAUGAAUCUUGUGAAAUAACAUAUUUCCAGUAUACACAAUCCGACUAGUUAGUUGAAUAUAUCAAAUAUUAAUUGAUAUGAAUCAAUCAUCAUAAAUGCCAAACAAUCAUAUGAAGACACCAAUCAAUCAUGUCAGUUACCUUAUGUCCAAAAAGAUUGAAUCAAUAGUUAGUUAUAUUUUCCAUAAAAAAAAAAAAACAAGCCUUCUUGUCAGUUAUGUUUUCCACGAGUAUCUUGUCAGGAAAACAAACCAUAAAUGGAGGAAUCUUGUAGACCUCAGAAGAAUGUUAGAGACGAGGUUUUUCCUUUGCACUAAAUUUUAAAAAUCUAAAUAUUCUAUUUUUUACAAGUAUACAGAUUGUUUAUCAAGAAUAGGACAUAUUAGGUAUCGAUCUCACAGGCAAGAUUGUCAAUUAUUGAUGAUUUUCAAGCUUCUUUAUUAUUUAAGUUAUCACAAAUACAAGAAAAUAAAUCUACUUUACAAUCAUGAAAUAAAAGGAGUAAAAAUAGCAAUAGAAAGCUUCUGGGGCUAUGGCAUUCCUAACUAGGGUGAUGAUAUCUCUAGAACUUACUCCUUCGAAAGACUCCUCAAUGUGAAUCAUUCAUGCUCAUCUCUUGAUGUUCAACCUUAGUUUCAAAGAUACAAUCAUGUAAAAUGGACAUUUCGUCAUUGGAACACAAAUUAGAUUCAUCAUUUUGAUCAAAAUGCAAUCCACUUUCACAUACAACAUUCCCACCAUUCACAAUAGGAUCAACUUACAUAUUAUUAGAAGAUAAAACUUCACAUAAGGCAUGCAAUUGGUCUUAAAUUCUACCAAAUUGAGAAGCUAAUUCAUCUAAUAUAUUGUCAACCCUAUCAAAUUGGUCAGAAGUCAUAUUAGCUAACCUUUCAAUUGCUAAUUUCCAAGACAAAAGUGCAUUAACUAACCUUUUAAUUGCUAACUUCCAAAAUGGCUUUGAUUCAAGUUGGACAAAUUCGAAUUGGUAAUUAUAAAAAUACAGAGGAGCAUUAUAUCCAUACUGAUUAUUUCAACUAUAAACAUAAGAAUUAUCCCAAUUAGGAUCAUAUUGAUCAAAACAAUGAUUGAAAGGCUCAAAUUCAUCAUAAUAAUCUACAUUUUGUGCGUAUCUACAUGUACGAGUAGCAUGAUAAUCAUCACACAAGUGACAAAUCACAUAAUUAGAAUUAAAAAUAUUAAAAUUUUUCUUUCUUUUUUUCUUUUUUUUUUAUUUGGCUAACCCCAUGCACGGGGAGGGACGCCACCCCUGAGUAUUAUUAAUAAAAACCACAAAAGACACAUACAAUGCCAAUCAAUCGAGCACAACCCUACUGCGUAUUACAGGAAUUCCUGCUCUAUCCAAACCCACGGCCCCACUAGCGGGUCUUGGUAACUCCGAAUGGGAGGUAUACAUGCCACUCAACAACCCUUGCGCCCCCACCUUAGACAAGAUGUUCGCCACCUGGUUUGCUUCUCGAAAACAAUGACCCACAGUCCAAUCCGAACCCAACAUUGAUUGGAUUGCCUCUACAUCAGAGCGAAUCAGCCAUGGACAUCUCGACUUGCCAGGGAGAACAUUUACUAAUCAACAUUUACUAAUGAACACCCACAGUCCACCUCCACCUGUACCCUGGAGACACCCCGUAACAGGCACUGCUGCACCCCAUAUAGCAACGACUUGGUUUCAGCUUGCAAACUUGUCGUCUAACCGAGGAGAAUGGAAAAACCAAAUAGCAAAUCACCAGAGGAGUCCCGAAGGACACCACACCCUCCACUAGGCCCUGGGUUACCUAAUGAACAUCCAUCCGUAUUUAACUUGUAGAUCCCCUGAAACGGCAAUUCCCAAUAGACCACCCUAUGGGAGUAUCGAGGCCUCCAUCCAUACAUACUAGAGUAAAAAGCAUGCCAGGAAACUGACAGGUUGUCAGCCUGUGCAAUAAUAAAACCUGCUUAAAUUAAAAGUAAUUUCUGUAGAUAGCGGUGAGCAGGGUCGAAUCCACAGGGAUUGGGGGUAAUUAUUUCUUUUCAAAUUCACAGUGACAAGGGGGUGUUUUUAUAUCAGGGGUGACAAUUUAAACAAUUCAACUAAAAGUAAAAUAAUAAAAAUAAAAUAGCCAACUAGAAAUUAAAUAACAAUUUACUAAAAUCUAAUGAGUGAUAAUUAAGGAUCAAGCCAAGGAAUAACUUCAGCAAUGGUUCACCUAAUUGAUCAUCGAAGCAAAGGCAAUUCCAAUUAUUUAUUAAUAAAUAGGUUAUAACUGUCAAACAAGCGAUGACAGUCAACCCCUCCUUACUAUAUCGGUGAUCAAGUUACACCUGUUAAUCACUUUUUUAAUUGGAAAACAAUCUUAGGUACGCCCGUAAGAUUUAAUUCCCCAAUUGCCUUACGUAUUAGAGGAGCCCUAUUCUAACCAAAUAACGCACUACCAGGGUUAUUUCAGAUUAGCCUGCAUAUCCUCCUGACACAAACCAAAUCAUGCCAGUUGUCACUAUUUCAAGGCAAUUAAACAAUUACAAAUUUAAUACCCUAAUUGACAAUAGAUUACCGAAUCAAUUAAUUAUCCGGAUCCAAAAUAAUCAAUUAAUUAAAUAACCAUAAGCAUAGCAAUCAAGAAAUAUGCGAAUACCAAUAAUUAAAAGGAAAAGAUUAAAUUAAAUCGAUCUCACAAUUUUAGGCGAAUCAAAGCCUCCGUUGUCCCUUGACUAGAGGGAAAAAAUUAGUUCAUAUUUGAUACUAAAAACCCACGCAAAGGUGUAGAAAAACCUGCGGCCAUUAUCCUUGAUCGAAAGAGUUCACUCCGUUCGAACAAAAGGAUGAAUAGCAGGUCUUCUGAGAAUGACUAAUUGGCUAAUUGAGUAAUACUUGUCUUGACAUACGGAGAAAUAAGAGCUACUUGAGCCCACAAGAAAAAGUCAAAAGAAGCUAAGCUAAAAGAGACACAAUCAAAAGCUAAGCUAAAGGUAGUGCUUGCCCUCUGCACAAUUUUCCUAUCUAAAAGUCAUGCUACUUGCGGCGGCUCCUGUGUGUGGAGAGGAAGAAGCCUCUCGACGACUGCCCAGGUUUGCUUUCUUUUCCCCUUUUUUAGUUGCUGUCUUCGGUCAAAAUUACCAAAAAGGUCUUGCAUCUCCUUGUUCCAAGAAUGCCCUUGAUUGCCUGCUAUUUGAACUCUUUCCUGAUAACUGUUAAAUUGGUACUUAUUAUGGUAUUUUCGUUCUACUCCCUGAAAUAUAUGCCAAAUACUAAAAGUGAGCAGAAUCCAGCAAUUAAUCCACAUUGGGUCAGGUAAUAGGGAAAAUUAAUAAUAAAAUAAAUGAUAAAAUUGCAACCUAUCAAUUCCCCCCACACCUAAACCAUGCUUGCCCUCAAGCAUGAGAACAACAAACAAAUACCAAUAUUUGAUAGUGGCUACUGCUCUAUCCACCAAAUUGCCAAGAUACCAAGAAAAAUAAUAAUCAAGCAUCGAUGGUCAAGUCCAAGAAACAUCACUCUGGUUAGCUUCUAAACAAUAAACUCUUCCAAUUUCAGGUUAACUAAUCUAAGAAAAAGGAGUGGUCGCUCAACAUUUAUCAGCGAAUGGUCCAACUAUUAACCAAAAUCUCAACAUUAAAUCCAUAAAUCGGCAAGCUGACUUUUAUCACACAUUAACACAACCAUUACAUUUUUUCCAUAUUUUUCUUUUUUUUUUCUCCUUUUUUUUUCAAUAGUAACACAAGACUUAGUCUUAUAGCCAUGGGAGCCUUUUGACGCGAACUCCAACAUUUGCCAGAUGAAGGAGUCUAGUUACUCAACUCCUAUCGCUAUACGACCACGUACUCAUAGAAAUUACUACUUUUUGACGCGAGAAUCGACACUUUUGGUGAAGAUCCCCGGUUACUCAGUAAUAAAAACUAGCUGAGUACAGCCAACUCUUAUUCUCAACUAAAUAACACAAAAACUCAAUAUAACACAAAAAUCAAAAGAAAAUUUGCAUCAGCUAUCCUCAUUUUCAAAUAUGGAGAACUAAGGUUAAUAACUGGACCAAUUCACAUGAAAAUGCCAACAAUCAUUCCCUAUGCCUAGGAAAGUUGACCAAAAGUUAAAAGAGUAAAACAAUCGCUGAUAUUCACCAAAGAGAUAUUCUUGGACUCAACCACAUUAACUUGAUACACUUUUAUUAUUAAAACUUGGCAAUAGCAGAAUUAGAGUCAACAAUCCAACAUCAAACUUUGGUAUUCAUUAAAAAAAAAGUAAACGAAGACUAGACAAAUGACAAACUAGCAAUAAAAGAAGGACAUCUGAAAACUAAAAACUGGUAUAGCUGUCCCUCCCCCCACACCUAGAUCCUACAUUGUCCUCAAUGGAGGAAAUAAAAUAAUUAAAGCGAAGAGGAUAACGAAACUUCCCCCUCGAGUGGUUAAGGGGUAUUUGGUAGCUACGGAGGGAAACCAACAUGGUGAAGGUACGAGGCCACGUUCUGAGACAUCCUUGCCCCUUGGCGGGCAAUGUUCGUCAUUCGCUCAUCUACGUUGUGAACCUGUGCUUGUAAGUGGCGCCACUCACCAUUUUCGCCAAUUAUCAUUCCAAACAACCAAAGACAGAAUAUCCAACAAAGAUAGCAAUCACAAAUGCACAUUCAUAGUCACUGGUGUUCCCCAACUCAACAAUCAAAAGCAAACAUGGGCCACCCAAGCCCAAAUAUGGUCAACAAAGCAACAGUUGCACUCCAAAAUCAAAAACCAGAAACUAUUAUCAAUAACUGGAAACUAGCAAAGUCACGUCAAUAAGCACAGGAACUACCCAAUUUAGUCAGUCAACAAGCAAACUUGGGACAUCCACAAUAUCAACAAAUGCACUCUAAGAUUGUAACAAAUGCCCCCAUCAGUCAAACCAUAACAAUUGCCCCAAUAAUAUGCCAAAUUCAGCAAUAGAGGUUCAAGAAUUUAGUAAUAGUAACACAAUCACAAGCCCUUGGCUAUCAGCCAAAUAUCCAAACAAAUACAGUGAGCAGAUUCAAGGAAAAACAGUCCAACCAGUACCACUGGUGAAAAAUUAAGUGUACCACUUCACCACCCGAAAUCGUAGCAAAAACCCCAAGAAGCCAACAAUUCAAGCAAUAAUAAUUCCGUAAGUUAACAGUAGCACCACAGAAAUUAGCAAUGGAAGACGACAGUCAAGGCACGCCCAAUAGUUCACUAGAAAGCGAAGAAAUCCACUAAUAAUGUCGCACCGAACCCAAAAGGCACUGAUGUCCCACAAUUGGAACAAAUAAAGAUAACCCAAACACCAGUGCAACCCCAGAUACUGGAACUCAAUUUAACAAGAUAAUGUGGCCAUGGAGGCUUCAAUUGAGUCUAACAAUUAAAUCCCAGAAAGGAUGCUCCAAAUAAUUGGGUAUAAGUUCGAGAGGGGUAAAUACCUCCGCCGCGAAUAGUGGCCAAACAAAAUCUCUGGUAGAGGCUAAAGGCGACGUAGCGAAGUGGGCAGAGGAGGUGGCGCGUUGCCCGAGGGUCAAGAGGGGAAGAGAGGCCGCAGUUGUGGCGGCGUGCUCCUUCGAGUGGCGGUGGUCACGGGUGUGUUAGUGGAGGGCUGCGUCUGGUUGCUGAGGAGAUAUCAAACGCACAAGCUCAAAACGAGAGAGGCAAAGGGCGAGCUGCUCCUGGGGUAGUGGAGGCGUCGCCUGUGGAUCGAGGACGUGGGCUGGGCUCGCGGUAGGAGGCAGCGGCAUGUGGUGGAUUUUCAGUGGCUGUCGCGGGCUAGGGAGACGGUGGCGAUGGAGGAGAGCAGCGACGGCGCUGGCUGCACCGUGGGCUGCAGGCUGAUGUCGUACGAGGAGAAGCUGGGGUCGCGGCUACUGGCAGCGCUGUUGGCGAUGCGGUGGCCAGGGAUGGAGAGAUGCACGUGGAGAGCUCUUUCCCGCGAACGUGACGCGGGCACGUCAUGAAAGCACGGAAUGAGGAGCUCUCCAGGUGACUUGAUGCGGGCACGUCAUGAGGACAAAAACCUUUUCUGACGAAUCUGACCAUGAGCUUUCCAGGUGACUUGAUGCGGGCACGUCAUGAGGACAAGAACCCCUUCUGACGAAUCUGACCAUGAUCUCUUCAUGGGACUUGACGCGGGCACGUCAUGAGGAUCGAAACCCUUUCUGACGAAUCUGACCAUGAGCUCUUCAUGGGACUUGACGCGGGCAUGUCAUAAGGAUCGAAAUCCUUUUUACUAAGUACCAGAAAAUCGCAAUGUGCCUCGCGCCCAGUUGACGCGAGCACGUCAUGUCAAAGGGAUGCCUAUGAAUCAUCAAAAACGAAAAUUGAAACCAUAAAUCAGUCAAAUCCAAGGAAAAACAUAUUUAAACUAACAAACAAAAAUGAACAAACAACUAAAAGGAAUUGGGUUGCCUCCCAAUGAGCGCCUUUCUUUAAUGUCUUUGGCUAGACAUCAUCAUAAUUUGUUCAUGGAGGAUAAAAUCUUGUGGCUCGUCUUAAUGCUUCAUCCUCUAUAUAGUCCUGAUAGCCCUUGUAAAUAGAAUAAUCCUUGAGCACACGAGUUACGGGCUUCCAUGGACUAGUAAAUGGCGCCAAACAAGUCAACGAUAAUUUGCAUUCUCCACUCACUCCUCCAUCACUUGCAUUUAUUGGUUCAAGAUAUCUUGAUAUCGCCACUCUUAAUUUAUUCCUGUCAUGAAAUUCAAAAUUUUCUGGUAUAAUAAAGUCAAUUUCAUUAACAGAAAUUGAAGAAUAAGAGUCAAGAGAAUAUUGAUUAAGGAAUGGAGCAGAUGUCACCGCAUUUGGAGAUUGUUCACUGGAUUCAUUCACUUGGACGCAUUGAUAUUGGGGUCUCAUUUCUUGCACUUCACUUUCCUUUUCAACUGCAUCUUUAGAUCCAUUUUCUUGAAACUUUUGCAGUCCCAUGUCAUUUGACCGGAUAAUUGCACUCUCAUCUUCUUCAAGGUUGAUAUUGGUUUGUGAGGGCAAUUUUUCAAGGUGAGAAGCUAAUCGCGCUAUCCUGGAUGUCAAUUGAUUCAUUUGAUCCGCCAUCGCUUGUAACUCCUGUUGAGAUCGAUAUGAAUUAGCAGUUAGUAAUUCUAUCAUUUCUUCAAGAGACAUACCUGACACGGAAGAUGAUUGCUGAGACUCUUGCUGUUGGAAAUCCAUUGGCCCGGUCGCAUAAUUAAAAUUGAAAUUAUCCCACCAUCCUUGAUCAUACCUGUUUGGAUAAGGGUCAUACCACGUUUGAAAUCGAGGUGGAAAAUCUCCAAAAGUAUAAAUUGGAGCACUUAGAUUCUCUUAAAAUGCAGGGCAUGUGUCGGUUGAAUAACUUGAGACAAAAUAAGUUCCACAAUUUGCAACACCCUAUUGAUCAUUAGGAAAAACACGAGUCUCAUAACCCCAUUCAGGAAUAAAGUCCAGUCUAUCAUCAAAAUACGGAAUGUUAGCAGCCAUAAACUAUAUAAAAAAAAGAGAGAAAAAUAAAUAAAAAAAAUAAAAACAAAAUGAACUCAAAAAGAAACAAAUUAAUCAGGCACCAGUCCCCGGCAACGGCGCCAAAAAUUGACAGGUUGUCAGCCUGUGCAAUAAUAAAACCUGCUUAAACUAAAAGUAAUUUCUGUAGAUAGCGGUGAGUAGGGUCGAAUCCACAGGGAUUGGGGGUAAUUAUUUCUUUUCAAAUUCACAGUGACAAGGGGGUGUUUUUAUAUCAGGGGUGACAAUUUAAAUAAUUUAACUAAAAGUAAAAUAAUAAAAAUAAAAUAGCCAACUAGAAAUUAAAUAACAAUUUACUAAAAUUUAAUGAGUGAUAAUUAAGGAUCUAACCAAGGAAUAACUUCAGCAAUGGUUCACCUAAUUGAUCAGCGAAGCAAAGGCAAUUCCAAUUAUUUAUCAAUAAAUAAGUUAUAACUGCCAAACAAGCGAUGACAGUCAACCCCUCCUUACUGUAUCGGUGAUCAAGGUACGCCCGUUAAUCACUUCUCUAAUUGGAAAACAAUCCUAGGUACGCCCGUAAGAUUUAAUUCCCCAAUUGCCUUACGUAUUAGAGGAGCCCUAUUCUAACCAAAUAACGCACUACCAGGGUUAUUUCAGAUUAGCCCGUAUAUUCCCCUGACACAAACCAAAUCAUGUCAGUUGUCACUAUUUCAAGGCAAUUAAACAAUUACGGAUUUAAUGCCCUAAUUGACAAUAGAUUACCAAAUCAAUUAAUUAUCCGGAUCCAAAAUAAUCAAUUAAUUAAAUAACCAUAAGCAUAGCAAUCAAGGAAUAUGCGAAUACCAAUAAUUAAAAGGAAAAGAUUAAAUUAAAUCGAUCUCAUAAUUUUAGGCGAACCAAAGCCUCCGUUGUCCCUUGACUAGAGUGAAAAAAUUAGUUCAUAUUUGAUGCUAAAAACCCACGCAAAGGUGUAGAAAAAGCUGCGGCCAUUAUCCUUAAUCGAAAGAGUUCACUCCGUUCGAACAAAAGGAUGAAUAGCAGGUCUUCUGAGAAUGACUAAUUGACUAAUUGAAUAAUACUUGUCUUGACAUACGGAGAAAUAAGAGCUACUUGAGCCCACAAGGAAAAGUCAAAAGAAGUUAAGCUAAAAGAGACACAAUCAAAAGCUAAGCUAAAGGUAGUGCUUGCCCUCUGCACAAUUUUCCUAUCUAAAAGUCAUGCUACUUGCGGCGGCUCCUACGUGCGGAGAGGAAGAAGCCUCUCGACGACUGCCCAGGUUUGCUUUCUUUUCCCCUUUUUUAGUUGCUGUCUUCGAUCAAAAUUACCAAAAAGGUCUUGCAUCUCCUUGUUCCAAGAAUGCCCUUGAUUGCCUGCUAUUUGAACUCUUUCCUGAUAACUAUCAAAUUGGCACUUAUUAUGGUAUUUUCGUUCUACUCUCUGAAAUAUAUGCCAAAUACUAAAAGUGAGUAGAAUCCAACAAUUAAUUCACAUCGGGUCGGAUAAUAGGGAAAAUUAAUAAUAAAAUAAAUGAUAAAAUUGCAACCUAUCAGAAACAAACCCAUCCGUGGAAUGUUGGUAACAUCACUUUGUUUCCUAAAAGGCUUGUUGGUAACCUACUAGCUGAAAUAAGGACUUCAAGCUAAUAGCCAUCACCAUUCUUGACAAUCAUAAUUAAUGGGUAUAAAUGAAGAUAUUAAACAUAAAUCAUGUUUAAGGAUGCAUCAUACCACAGAAACAAUCUUGCAUUCUCAGAAGUUAACAGGCUUCCCAUUUUCACAAUCUCUAUAUAGUAUGAAGUAGAACAGCAAAAAGGCAAGCUCUGAAUUAACAAUUCAAUUGCUCAGAAACUAUCAUAACUUAAAACUGAAAACAACCCAACCUUUAGGAGGAAUAGCACUUCAUCAUUCUUGAAAGAUCUCAGAUUAGAAAAAUUGCACUUAAAGAGGUGAACGCAGGGAAAAGUGUUCAGAAGAAAGGGCUGUGAUGCUUCCCGAAGGAGAGUAAAUCUUGUUUACAAACCCAGUUGAAGGAGAUUCAUAUGUAUGAGCAUCUUGCAAUUCUGCCAUUAUCCUCCAUACGUCUCCAGCUCCAUGAUAAGGACCUGCAACAAGAACAAACAUUGUUCCAGGAAGUAAAAUGACAUUAUAUCAGAAAAAAAAGGAAGAGUGAACAGAAAUAAUUGUAAGCAAUCAUCUAAAGAACGUUGUCCUCAUUGAGAAAUAUCAACGAACAACUAUGUUGCAUAGUCCCUCAAAUUGGGAUGUUACAAUAACAAAAAAACGAAAAGAAAUUUGAAUUGCAUUGACAUCAAAACAAUCUAGACUAAGCUAGCUGAUGAACAGUGAACUGAACAACAACUAUCCGAUUGCUCAAAAAGGGUUCAAAUUUUGCUAAAAUUAGUAUACUUGUGUAGUCAAUUCACAUAUGAAUUGCACGAACCAAUACAAACUUAUUAAAAAAAAAAACCUAGAAAUGUAAAUCACAACCUAGCUUAAAUAUACACUGAAAUUCGCUAUAUACAUGCGAAAAAUAAUCACAGUCAAAGAAGAGAUUUUUCCCACCAAGUAGAUUGCAUAGGGAUAAAUUGAAGAAGACUAAAAAAGAAAAAGCCUGAAACAUCCAUAGAUUGCACAUCAUUUCUUAUAAAUUCUAAAUUAUAGAUAGAAUAUGCAAAAAAAAGAGGUAAAAUAUGUUUUGAGGGACAAUGAAUCCUCUGCCACCAGCAACAACUUAAUUUCAACAGAAUCUAAAACUACCAUCUUAUUAAAUUGUUUCAUGAGUCACCAUCUAAUUAGCUGCAAAAUACUUCAGGGAAUAGUAGAAACUAAUUGUCAUAAACAUUAACUUACAUCUCUCAGUAGCAUAAUGUUGUUAGUGAAGCCAAUACAGUCAAAAAAUAUGAAGUCUCAGACACAAAUGCAAACAUGAAAAUAAAAAAGAGAAAAUAAUAAAAGUAAACAAAAGAAAUCAAGAUCAAACCAGCUGUAAAAGUGACUGUAUUUCUUUUUUCUUUACCCAAAGCCUCUAGCCACUCAGGCUAUAGAUGAUUCACCACCAUGAACAUCAAGCCUCAAACCUCACCACUAUAUAUUUUACCCUAUUAAAAUCACCCAUCUUGGAUGCUUUAAUUUGCACUACGAAGAGAGGUAAUUCAAAGAUAUCCAAUGCUUUAAUGUCCGGCUCAAAUGUAAUUUGGGGAUGGUAAGUAGAUGGCAAACCAAUUUCUAAGUUAAAUUCCAAAUUAAGAAUCAAAAUCCUAAAUUAAAUUUCACUGCACGUUUUUAUGAAAGAGAUAGAAAUUGAUUGAGAUUUGGGAGAACAUCUGGGAAGGCAACACAACUAAAGACGGAGAAUCAGUGAGAGAAGAAAAGGGAAAUGGGGGCAAACCUCGAUAAGCUUUCUCCGAUUGCUGUAGUAGAGAGGAGUGAGAAAUGCGAGGGGAGAGGACAAAGGAAGGUGGCAAUUUUGGAAAGAGGAAUUGUAGCAUCCUCCAUUGCAGCAUACUUUUCACACCGGCAUCGAUCUAUCCACAUAUAUCUCCUCAAAAGACACAUAUUUUCGCUUGAUUGGCAUUAUACAUAAACCAGAAUCGAGAAUUGAUUGAUAAAGAUAUAGGGAUGAAGCAUCAUGUUAGCAAUCAUCCACUGAUUAGGAUGCAAAGGAUACACUGAUUGGGAUGCAAAGUUCGCUACCAUUAAACAGGCGUACGGACUUAACUCAACCAGCAACAAGAGAGAAUAAAUUUGCAGAAGGAAGCAACGCAAAACAGGAGAAUGGAAAGUUUACCUAUUUUUCACAAUUCCAGCACUAUUAUACGAGGAUUCAACUUUGAUUCAGCCUACAGUAACAGAAAGUUACCUUCCAACGGCAGCAACAAAAGGUAGUCAGACAAAACAAAGUCCAACUAUUCCGCAGCCACACCACGCUCCUGCACAAUUAAGAGCAAGAUCAUAACCCAAUUAAAACAGACAUUAUAGAGGAGAAAUAAAAACUCUAAUCGAUAUGCAUACAACCACCGAAGCCACAAUAUAUUAAAAACACACCACCACAACUAAGCCACCAACGUUGAACCAGAAGAAAUCAAAAUCAACACAACAAACAAAAGCAGAACAAAUAGAAACCAAAAAUUUAAGGAGUCAAUUCAUUGCAGUCCAAUCUCACAGGGAACCAAAAAAAAAACCAAUAAAUAAGGUUGCUCUACGUCCACGCAUUGGAAACAAACUCAGUUCAAUUCAACCUGAAAAACGCAAGUGCAAAAGCUAAAUGGACUCCGUGCAAAAGCUAAAUGGACUCCUAUGGCAAAAUGGAGGAUCGAUCUGAAGUGAAAGAAAGAAAAUCAGGAGAAACUCCUGGGACCUUAAUGGGUGCCAAGAUGGCAGAACUACAAAAACGGAAGGAGAAACUCACGAAGGCUAAGGAUGAGGCGGUACAAUCGUGGUCAGAUUCCAGACCUGUGAUUGAUGAGCUUGACAAGCUACAGUCGGAACUUCCAGAUGCACAGAGUCGAACAGCCUCAUCCAACGUUACUAUUUCAGAGCUUGACUCUCAGCUUGAAAGGUUGAGUAUCUCUAUCAGGGCUAAGAAGGAGGAAGAACUGAAGAUCCAACAAUGAUCAACAGGAUAAAUCAGGUCUUGCAACAGACGCAGGAAGAGAUGGAGGAGUUCAAGAUGGAAAGAGAUGAAAAACACAGAACAGGAUUGAAACUAAAACGAGUUCUAUGUCUAAGGUGGCAGACUCUUCGCACUUUGCAACUCACCCUUCAAGCAAUACAAUUAGAAUCAGAAGCUUAUGUUGCAUCAGCUCAUGAAGCACAACGCUACAUCAGCCUUUUCCAGACAGAUGACACUCUGGUCAAGCUUACUCAAGAAGAGUACCAUGCAUUAACAAAAAGAGCAAGAGACGAAACUUCGUUGGCAGAAUGGCGAAUUGCAGUCUCUAUGGAACGAAAGCAGGCAGCCGAGGAAAGUCAAGAGACAGCUGCUAGAAGAUUGCAGAACUUGCAUUCAAAGAAUGGAUCAGGGAAAGGAAAACAUCCCGCUAAUGGGGUCUUAAAAGUUUAAAGAGCAAUUUUCUACAAUUAAUGGCAAUAUAAUUUGUAAUCGUAUUUGUGAGAGGAAAAUUUGAAGCUUGUGCUUUUGUUGUAUUAUAAAUUUAAUCACAACUUCUAACCAAAUUUAUUUUAACAACACAAAUAAAAAAUCGUACUUGGUUAAAUAUUGAAUUCCGCUAUAUAAGAUUUUUGUAAUACUAACAAUAGUUGUUCUUGUAAUGACAACUAACAAUGGAAUAUAUUAUUUUGUUCGCUAAAAAAUAUUAGCUGAUUAUAUACGUACAUAACACAUGAUUUUUUCUAGUAAUUCGAAGUGUUCUAGAGAUACCAUUAGGAAUAAAGUUUACGAAAUGUGGCAUGAGCAGCUGAGCUUUGUCCGAUCUUUUAGGUUGGUAUAGUUCUUUUUAUUGGUAAACCCUAUUAAUUCUUUUUAAACAAACUUACUGCUUCUUUAGCUAAAAACUACGAUACAUUUGGCAAAUUAUACUAGUUUCUCAGAAAAUUCUACUAGUUUCCCAUUUAAAUGAGAUUCACAAUCUGGAAAAUCAUUUUUAUUUUUUUAUAAUCUCCCCACAAUUUACAAUGAGUUCAGAGUGCUACUUUUGGUCAAUUUAGAAGAAUUUUCAUAAAGUCAUAAAAUAUCACUUAAGCAUUUUCAGAAGUAAUGUAACAUUCUUUUUAAAACGGCAUUCUAUGUCACUUGUCACCCGUUGCGAUGUUCCAAUGUCAUUAGAUGCAUUUCCAAGGCCAAGCUUAAAUAGUUAAAUUAAUUUAUGUUUCGUUUUUCUCAAGCCCUAAAUCUAAAUUUAAAAUAGCCUAAUCAACAAUAUAAAGCGAACAAUUUAGUAGAGCGAAAUGAAAAGAACUCUGAAACACAUAAUGUAGUCAUAAUCGGCGUUUUACAACGCCUUUUUUUCUUUUUUCAAUUUUUUCUUUUUUUUUUCGGUUUUUUGUUUUGACUUUGAUGUACCCCUAACUAUUACACAUAGAUAAAAAGGAAAGAGAGAAAUUUACUACAUAAGACCCUAUGCAGUAUGAAAAAACAAAGUAGACCCUGCACUGAAAACAUUAGAAGACACAACUACUGAUAAUCAUAGACUGAAUGGACACCAUUUUAUUUUGUUUUUCCUUUUUUUUCAAUUUUUUUUCUUUUACUGUGGUACCAAACGACUGAAGGAUGAUGGUAAUGAGUGCAUCCACCCUAAUUAGGGCGAAUUUCGAUGCCCCUGAUAAUAAUGCCAGACUUCCAGAUUGUAUCACUGGUUUCAAAAAUCCUAGCUUCUACCGUGGAACUUCUUCCGCGGUUGUUGACGAAGUCACCCAAGUUCAAUUCCUUCCAUCCAUCACUACGGGGUUGAGGAUGUAUGCCCGGAUCCUUCGAAUCUUGUGACUUAUCAAUUGACACGGUAUAGCCUUCAUUAUCAGUUCCCUUAGCCUUUUCCUCAGAAAAUCUUACCGAUGCAGUUGCUUUUUCAAGCCCCCUUGGCUUGGCACUAAGUUUGAACACGAGAUAUGUCGAAUAGGAACUGCCCCUUGGUAGGUCCCUAGCAGGCACACUGGCUCGAAUGUCAAACCA
rnacentral:lncRNA from 1 species